rnacentral:lncRNA from 1 species
UAAUGCGUGGAAUAUGUUUUAGGGAGGUGUUGCAUAUGCACCGCCACACACAUACAUGAUUAAUAGCCCCACAUGCACCCGGCAGUAGGCCGCCCUAGAUAGAGGAACACAAAUAUGUAAGCAACUGACCACCGCAGUCGGUCAAUUGAUUUGGCUGCUGGCCCUGAUGAAGAAGCGAGCAACUACAUACAUUCUGUAAGUACAUUCAGCCCUGUGCAUGGGGGCGGGCUUGAUAUGGGCCACGAGGGCACCAGUUGGUCGUCGUCCAGGGUAACCUCCUCCUGCUGCUCCUGCAACCCAAGCACGUGGUAGCUUCUGUCCAUGUUUGUAUGUAUGUAUGUGGUAUGUGUGUAUGUGGAGUAGUGUAAGCCAUGCAGGAGCGCGUGCACGGCGGCGGCGUAUGGGGUCUAUAUCUCAACUAGCCAGCGCGUGUGCUGCGCACUUCCCACUGUUGACGUGUCAAUUCAUUUUCUGGUGCUGCUGCAGCAGCAGCGGCAGCAGUAAUGGUAAAUUUGUUACUAUUAGGGUUGCUCUUACUUGGUUCGUUAUCCCUUUCUCAUCGGCGGGCAUAUGUGGGGCCCUGCUUCAUGACAUUAUAUCGCAACGUCGCAUGACAAUAUUUAUCCAACGUAUGCAUGACAGAUAUCUCUGCAGGCAUCCGCUAUCUUUUGCUAUGUGCAACCUGGCUUAUUGGCUACCUGGUUAUGGGUUUGGCAGGGAAGGCUUCAUGUCGGGUGCGUGUGAUUAUGAGGCAAGUGAUCUUGAUGACCUUCCACACGUGUGUGCGUCGUUUUGUCGGCGGGUUUUCUGCACCUUCAGCCCGGCAGGCGACUGACUACAUGCAUACAUACACACACACGUACAUACUUGCGAGCGUUGAUCAAUUAUUUCUGAGGCAGGCAUGGCUCGACUUCUGAAAGCGUGCACGAGGGGCUUGCUAGGGGCCCGAGCAGGUGUGUAGCAACAAGGCGAACCCAUACAUGGCUGGGCUCGUCUAUCUCUGUUCGGAGGUAGAUACUGCGGUGGGGGUGUCUGCCGGCCGCAGUUUUAGCUCGCGGGUGGAUUAUACAGUUCUGUCUGUGCUUCCUUGCAUGGUCGAUGACGACGACUCGGACAAUGCACAUGCGCACGUGCGCCUCUGAUGAUGGCCGCCUUGUACCUGCGGGCAGGACCGCCUUGUACCGUACGGGCAUUCGGAAGCACGGAUGCGUACGCAUAUCUCAAGCAAGCAAGCAAGCUCAGAAGUCUCCAGGGCAUGCAGGCAUGCAAAUGGUUUAGGUUCAUGUGUACAUGGCAGGAUGGCGACAGGACUGGCGACUGCACGCAGGCUGUUUUGUCGUGUUCGUCCUCAUCAGCCCUACUGGUAACCUCCUAGCAACUAGGUUUUAGGGUUGCUUUCAUCGCAUUGCACUGCGCAUUGCACUAGCUUUUUUUGUAAAUCUUUAGCUAGACUGGCUUUUGCAUUGCACUGCGCUGCGCUGCAUGAAUGGAACACGACGGACGACCGGACGCAUUUCUAUUUUGCUACUUUGCUACAUACCUGCUGUACUGUGAUGCGACAACAACGUUAAGUCUUGGCAAAGGAAGACCUGCUAGACGAAUAGCUAACCAUGCUACAAAGGCCUAAGGCCGGCGGGCUCAUAUAGCAGGUAGUUGUAGCGGGUUAAGUAUGGUAGGCUGCGGGUGUUUACAUUUCGUGCUGCCGACGAUUUCGGUUGCCCCUGCAUAAACAUGUAGUGCAUUGUCGUCGUACCUUUCUUCCUUUCUCGGUGUACUUACUGUCAUGCUAUGUUGCAACCAGCAGGAUGUAUUUGCACGGGAGUGAGUAAUGCUUGCCAGGGAAUGUCAAACAUUUAGGCCUAUUAGGGAUCAUGUUGUAAAUGUGAACCUCGUAAUGAAAAGGCAUGGCAUGUUGUCCCUCUCGUCGGUUGGACGAAUUGGGCGCAGAAGUCACCAAAUGCAAGCCGCCCGGCCGGCAAAUGCCCGCCCACCCGGUCGCCAUCCACUGAGGGGAUUCGAUCGUAUCGAUAUAUGGCACACGCGUAGCAGAGAGGCGCUGGCCGCCCCGAGAUGCUGGCAGAGCGAUUUAGCGAGAAUGCGUCAUUAAUAUCUGAGUGAGUCAUUAAUACUGAACGACCGGUACUACAUGCAGCGGCAGCAGAUCAGGCCUGCGAAUGAGGAGCGCCCUCCCGAGGGGUUAACCUCGCUCACCGUGCUGGUGCAGCGCAUCGGCACAGUCCGGCUAACCCGCCGACGACGGAUCGGGUUUGUGAAUUUCAAUGGGUUGCAUACGCAAACGGGUUGCUGCAAUACCUGGCCUUGAUCCGCUGAUGAAGAUUGCACUUCAGAAAUGUUUGAAUCAAUAGCUUCGGAUACUUAGGAUGAAGCUUAGGAUAGGUUUGUACUGGAGUGGUUGCGGAGUAGAUACGUACAUACAUACACACAUGGAUGCACAUCCUAACGUCUGACUGGCUGGCUGGCGGCACAACAGCCAAUGCGACUUAUCGGCCUUGUCAGCAGUGCCAUUAUGGUGCUGCCUCCGGGGACAUUGUAUAGGUGCUUUUACAUGCACGUAACGGCGGUGGUUUUCAUCACCAGUCCUCUGUAGUCUGCAGCGAUUCAUACCAUAAGGAUUGUACGAAUCUAUCGUCUGAUUGAAGGGCACACUUUACUGUAUGAACUACUGUAUGUGACGAGGGGGAAGAUGGCGACUACGCACCCAGAGUCGCCACAAGUCGCGACAAUAGCAACCACCUUUGACGACGGCCUACCGGAAAGGAAGGUCUAAGCUAUGAAUAAAUACAAGUUACUACUGACUGAGAUAUUAUUAUGACGCAACGUGGGAGGGCUGCACAGCGCCCAGAAGCCAAUCGUUGGCCGUUACAGAAGUUGAAACGUCAUGCAAAUGUGAUGCGAGACUAAAACAGCGAGUCAAGAUUUUUUUUGCAAUAAAACUUUAUAUAACAGUGUACGUACUUCCUUCUCAACAAUAUGUUUUCCCCGUGGUCAACCAGAGCCCCGUAGCUUGCUUCCCAUGGAACUAUUCCCGAGGCUACCUAGCGCAAGGUAGUGGUGCAGCUCUCGUGUAACUUUCAACCUUUGGAAUAAACGGAUUGUUAUAAUUCUAUCUAUUCUGCCACUCAUGCAAAUCGGCAAUGUCCCCGUCAACCGGCACAUUCUUCGGGGCCUCUCCGAACUGUUUAACUCUCAACAGGACUCUGAUUGCGUAAUUAUCUUCUGUCGGGAACGCUGCUCCAAUCCGAUAUCGGAAGCGGCCUCAUCCUCGAAGCGGAAGGGUCCGGAUGGCGAACCCUCUCGCCAAGAAGUCUUCGGCGACCCCAUGCCCGGCCAUCGCUUCGUAUUGAGAUGCGCAUCGGAGCAUUUUAAAGCGAAGGUGAGGCGAGCGUAAGGCUUUGGUGGCGAAAACCAAUGACCAUGCCAACUGUUUCGUCGUCUAUCCGUUUUUUCCUGUUUUUUACGUACCUCGCCACGCAAGCUGCCAUGAAACGCACGCACCCAGCCUAGCGUUCCCCCUCCCCAACCUUUUACCCUUGCAGCUCGAACGCUGGUGCGAAGCACAGAAUGGCGAUGCCGCCCCAGCGCCCAGCAAGCGGCUGCGAGUGAGCUCAUCACGACGGACGGCGACAGCACCAUCAUCAUCAUCAGCUGCAGCAGCAUCAGCAGCAGCAACAACACCGGCUCCGACUACGCUCAGUUAUCCGCAGCUGCUUAUACCUCUAGGCAGUGCGGCGGAGGUGUCCAGCACCCGUGCCGCCAUCCAGUUCGCCUACACGGGUCAAGUGGCCGCCGGCAGCGUCCGCGAGGCUCUGGAGGUUCGGCGGCAGGGCGGCUACCUGCAGAUCCACGGCUGCGCGGCGGCGUGUGAUGAACUCAUAAAGAGACUGAUAAAGGAGGUCGCGUCCGACGAUGCGCUGUUAAGUACCGACAUAACGGGAGCGGUUGUGAAGCAAAAACGGAAGCCACAGGCUGCAGGCUGCUGGGGAAGCACUCAGGGCUUACGGAGCUUGGGGCUGCAGGCAGCGUUUGAGCUGUAUGAACACGAGAAUCUGUGGCCGGAGGGCGCCAGCGCAGACGCAAGCUUCGCGAGCGUCCUAUCAUGCGCUGGAGCAUCGCUCGUUUCUCACUUUGGCAGCACACUUGCCGUUCUCAACAGCCCCCUGCUCAACGAGCGGCUGUUGUCGCUGCCCGCCAUCGCGCUGGAGUUGCUCCUGUGCUCUGACGACUUGGCCACAGACUGCGAGUCCAGCGUGUUGCUGCUGCUGGCCACGUGGAUGCGGGAGAACUUUCACAAAACGAAUGACGAAGAUCGCAAGCGCCUGUGCCGUACGGUACGACUGGCUCAGCUGAGCCGGCCGUACGCUGGUACAAUCUUGCCAGCUCUGGCGGCGGACUACGAAUUGGCGUUGGGGGCCGAAGAAAAGCCAUCUGGCUGGUUUCCUUUGAACCUCGCGGACGCCCUCUUUACCUCGAGUGUCGUUAAUGCACAGGAGGACGAGCGGCUAAAGCUGCUGGCGAUGGCUCUGAACCAAGCUGACAAGGCCCCCCUGGCAUCUCAGUGGGCCUCAAUGAAACUGAACCGGCGGCCGCAGUGCAUACCGCCGACGGGCCUCGAAGUCAGGUGGCAUGUACGGCAGGAGGAGCUGCUGGCGGCACUGGCGCGCCUGCAACCUGGCAAGACGGCUAAGGUUUGUUGCACCUUCGAGGCCAGCGGCCGUGGCAUCAGCGACAGCGAUUGCAGCAUCUACAUCGCCGCCGGCUUCUCCUGGUCCCUUUGGAUUAAGAUGUUCUACGGGCCGCAGCGACCGUUUGCGGGGCUGUUUGUGCGGUGUGAGCUUCCAACCGCGUUUGCGGUGCCCGGGUCGAGGCUGUGUCUGGAGUCCGCCACCCGCAUGGUGGUGCGUUACAAUGCAGACUUACUCGUGCACCGAUGGCGGGCGGGUGCGCGGUUGGAUAUCCGAUGCCGCUCGAAGACGCAGAUGAUAGAGCGCGGCUCCUCUAGAGGGUGGCCUAACGCUCUGCCUCUCAGAGUAUUGCCGGCCCAGCAGCCAACAUUGCCGCAGGCGCAGCGGCAACCGCAGCCACAGCAGCAGCAGCAGCGGCCAGCUGGCGGUAAUAGUGCCAGCGGUGGUGGUGGCGGCGGCGGUGGCGGCGGCACAGGGGUGCCGGGUGGGGCCAUACACAGCAAUGGCGGCGGCGGUGGCGGCGGUGCCAGCAGCGGCGGCGGGGCCGGUGAUAGCGUUGACUCGCUGGCGGCUUGGUCAGAAUAUUUGCGUGAAGGAAGGAUCACCGGGACAUUAACGCUGCGGCGCCCUACAAACCGUUGAGGCUCACAAAUACACAAAUCCGUCCAUCCCAUCCCUCCAUCCAUGUCCAUCACAUGUUGCGUGUUGUCUACACCAUGGGUAGGUACUUACUGUAUAUGACGGGCUGGCUAGCGCGCCGGCAGCACCGGCAUGGGCGUGGGUUGGUGUUCUGGGGGCUGUCUGUCCCCGCUACCCCCAGUUAUCUGCUGGCACAGACAGACAGACGUUGAUCUACUGCGUGAUGAAGUGGGCUUACUUACACCGGGGCUUCUUGUUUUGUUUGCCCUGCGAGGAUUAAAUGUCAGACGCUUCUAUGUGUGGCUAAUUUUAUCUAAUUUGCCUGGCGCAAGGGACAAAUCUACAAUCAGGUACAUUAACGGGCCGAGAACCAGAAGAGAUCCAAGGAGGCCGCUAGUACAUAGGAUGGACUUCAAAUUGCAUAUGGUUCUCUUGCUGCCGGUGCCAGCAGUUGAAGGGGUCUUUAUUUGUAAAGCUUAUUAUGCCGAACCAAGCUGUCCUACACCUCGGGGAUGUGCACACGUCGGUGCUGGCUGGCUGGCUGGCUGGCUGGCUGGUUGCAUAAAGGGUAAGUGAGCCAAUUCGUUGGCGGAUCAUCCACCAUGUCUGUGAGUACUUAUUUUGUAACGCGCAAAACGCACCUAAAUGUAAAAUGCUGUGUAUGGUGAAGGGAAAAACCGUCCGAUUGACCGUGUACGGCACUUCGUGCUCCAGACGGGCAUAUGCGCAAAAUCGCGCAAGCUAGCAGAGCAGGAGAGCGUUGAAGUAUUGAAUGGGACCUUGUUGUAGCUGAGUUGCGUAUUGCAGUUACUGUGCGCGCGCGAUAAGCAGGUAGAAUGUUGGUUGUUGGACAAAAUUGAAGUGAUCUAUGAAGAUAUCAAUUUAACGCAUAUCUUAAAACGGAGGAAUGUCUGGCCCUGCCUGGCUGGUGAUGGCUGUAGAGGAGGUGCAGUUCUGCGGGUGCAGUAGUACUCGGCCCCUGAAGCAGAAAGAGCCGCAGCCGUAGCUCGCUGCCAGAAGUGCAUGCGCAUGUGCUCCGAGGGCCUUACGUCUUCGUGUUCGUGUACAUGUCACAUUGGUAUUGUAGGGUGUGAUGUUGGGUAAUAUGUGGCAACUGUAACACUGGUGAAUAUUUAGAAGGUCUCUGAAGAUGCUGUGCAUGGAGUUUUCUUUUAUUAUUUAGUAGUCGUGAGGCCAUGCUUGUACAACACCCUACUGUAAUAACGUACCGUUGUUACGUCAACGAAAGGCCCUAAAAUUUCCAAGUCCCCGGUCUAACCUCGUCCUCCUCACGUGCCGGGGGAGGAGGCUGGAAGAGCUGAUAAGGUGGGUUUGCCUGGACGGGACAGGACAGGACAAGUAUCAAGAUGCCGUAUCAAGAUCCAGGUUGUGAGACGUACCCUGUACGUCAAGAUCUUGCUGUAAAUUGCAAAACAAUUUAGUUUCUGCAUUUUACAGUUAUCCAUGACUUGGAACAGGUUUACCAGCGCAGUAUUGUUGCGCAAUCCCAUGGCACCAGCCUUGUACUAUGUUUGUGGGUGCAAGGCUGGCGUGCAUAGCAUAUAUUGCGUUUUUUAAUUGAUGUGGGCUGACAGUGUCCUUCGUUCUUACGAUUUUGUGAUGCAAACUCCACAGCCACUCAGCAUGACUACUGCCUAUCAAAAUCCACCUAGGACUCAUGAUCGACUCAUGAAAAUUUGAGCCUUAUUAUAUGUUUUGUAAGCACUUGGAUUCGAUCGACGUCUCAUGACUACAGCACUUUAAAUAGCCAUCUAGCGAUGGAACCCCAAAACCUUAGCCUUCGAUUGUUCGCUGAAUUAUAAGGCUUAUGAAUAAACAUAAAAUAUUCUUAUUCUCAGCUGCGCGUUUAGCGGGUCUGCGUAUCGUCAAAGUUGAAGGUGCGGCUAGGUUAGGGCUAGGUCCGAAGCCCAAUAAAGCCCACCCGUGAUAACUGCACAUAGAAAGACAUUAAAGGAGCUUAAGUGAAACUAUUGAAAGUCAUGUUUCAUCUAUCUGACGUUUUUGCCCGAAUUCGCGCGUUGUACCGUUUUCGGACAAUGUACGAAUGAAACGCAUGUAACCGACAUCCGGUCGCGUUAGUGGGAGAUAGCAAGGCGGAAUGAAUCUGGCGCGAUUUUAAAUAAUAUAAAUUCUUGAUAUUGCACGAUCCCCAGCGUUUUCCUGCGUUUGUUAUCGCCAUGCAAAACUGCGAUGUCCCCGUCAACCGGCACGUUCUUCGGGGCCUCUCCAAACUGUUCAGCUCUCAACAAGACUCUGAUUGCGUAAUUAUCUUCUGUCGGGAGCGCUCUGUAGAACAGUCGGAGGAAACGGCCACUUCCGGCAGUCGGCGUGGAGGGAUGGACGAUUCCUCUCAGUGGGAGGUAUUUGGCGACCCAAUGCCCGGCCAUCGCUUCGUACUGCGGAAUGGGUCUGAACACUUCAAAUCAAAGGUAAAAAAAUCGGUUGCUUUCGGUUGUUGUUGUAUAUGCUGCACUUAAAAAACAGCUCAGCCUACCCCAGUGUGCCCACUUGCCGCCCACAUCCCCAAUAGGCCCCAAAUAAUGCCCGAUAUCCCCAAACCCCAACAAUACACGCAGCUAGAGCGCUGGUGCGGUACAAUUAAUUCCACGCAGCCCAUCAGACGUAAGCGUGCUCGUUGUACCACAACAGAAAAUGGCGCUGUAGGAAGGAUAUCGACAGCUCACUUGGUGUUGGCUUCGCCUGAGUUGCUUAUACCUCUAGGCAGUGCGGCGGAGGUGUCCAGCACCCGUGCCGCCAUCCAGUUCGCCUACACGGGUCAAGUGGCCGCCGGCAGCGUCCGCGAGGCUCUGGAGGUUCGGCGGCAGGGCGGCUACCUGCAGAUCCACGGCUGCGCGGCGGCGUGUGAUGAACUCAUAAAGAGACUGAUAAAGGAGGUCGCAGAACAAGCCAGAACGCUGAAAUACAGGAACUGCAUGGAAGCCGCAAGAACCGCCCUCCCAGUUUUCCAGUUGGCAGUUUCAAGGGACGGUGGCCGGCAGGGCGGGGGCGGCAGCUUUGUUGGCAGCGGUAAUAGCCCUAGCGGCAGCGAUAACAGCAGUGUUGGAGGAGGUGGUUGUAACGGAAGAUGGUCAUUUCACGCACCACUUGGGGGGGUGCGUGAGCUGUGCGAAUGCCAGGAGCUGUGGCCUGAUGAUGCCAGGGCACAAGCCAGCUUCGCAGAUGUUCUGACCUGUGCUGGCGACUGCCUGGCGUCUCACUUUGGCAGCACACUUGCCGUUCUCAACAGCCCCCUGCUCAACAAGCGGCUGUUGUCGCUGCCCGCCAUCGCGCUGGAGUUGCUCCUGUGCUCUGACGACUUGGCCACAGACUGCGAGUCCAGCGUGUUGCUGCUGCUGGCCACGUGGAUGCGGGAGAACUUCCACAAAACGAAUGACGAAGAUCGCGAGCGCCUGUGCCGUACGGUACGACUGGCUCAGCUGAGCCGGCCGUACGCUGGUACAAUCUUGCCAGCUCUGGCGGCGGACUACGAAUUGGCCAUGGCUAGGAACUUUGAUGUUGGAAACGAUGGCAAUGAGGAUGAUCAGUGUGGCUGGUUUCCGAUCGGCGUGUCGGAAGCGGCUUUCAUAGCCAACAUCGUAAGCGCCCGUGACGAGUGCGAGCAAGCUCUGCUGAUGGACCUCGUUGAAGAGAGGGCCAAGGACCCGAAGCGGCGCGCUACUUACAACCCCAAGCAACGGCCGCAGUGCAUUCCGGAAACGGGUUUCAUAGUCCAGUGGCAUGCACGGCAGGAAGAUCUGCUUGCGGCCCUAGCGGAGUUGAACUGCAGGGACAGAAAUCAGACGUGCGCAGCAGUGGAGUGCGUGUUUGACGGCCAAGUGGCGCAGGCAGAGGCGGGAGGCAGCGGAGGCGGAGGCGAUGGUGCUGAGUACUGCUUUGCGGCAGGCAUUGCAUAUUCCGUUUGGAUCGAGGUCUACGCCGCAGGAACACAGCCGCAGCCUCUCCUUGAACAACAGCAGCAGCAGCAGCGGUUCGCGGGGCUAUAUGUCCAGUGUGACUUGCCGCCCGCGUUUGCGGUGCCUGGGUCACGAUUGUGUGAGGAGGCCGCGUGUCGGAUGGUGGUGCGCGACACGGUUGAGUUGGCGGUGAACCGGUGGCAGGAUGGCUGCCGUAAGGACAUUAGAUGCCGCUCCCAGGCGGGCUUAAUGGACCUGAAACACUGCUGGGGCUGGAGCAAUGCGCUACCACUGAAUCAACACCCAACACAACAGCACCCCCAGCAGCUGCAGCACCAGCACCAGCAGCAGGAUACAGGCGGCGGAGGCGGCGGAAGUAAUUGCAGCGACCCACGGGUCAUCGAUGGUGAUUGUGCUGGCAGCGUCGACAGUCUAUUGGGGCCCUGGUCCAAUUAUCUGCGGGAUGGCAAAAUUACGGGAUCGUUGACAUUGCGAUUGGCCAAGACGUGACGAAGGACGGCGAUUAAUUGCGAGUACGGGCAUGUACAGGCAUGCACGGGCUAAAGGCCUGCAUAUCAGUGUUCUGCAGGAGGCGUUCCUUGGCGUGCUGCACUCGACUCGAUCGCGGUCCACUGCAACAAUCACAAACUGCUUAUCUUGUGACAUCCUGUGAGUCGAGUCGAAAACCGGAAGUUCCUGUAUUCGAGAAUGCACGUGGGGCCCUAUUGACGUUGAAUGCAGCCGGUAGGAAAGGUAGAGUUCUUGUAUCCAGUACAAAAAAAGAGCGAUGAAGAAUUUUUGCUAUACUUAUAGAGCAUUCUAUUUUAUGAUGGUAGUUUUAUUUUUUAAACGCUUCUGGGCAACUUAUUUCGCCAAAGGAGAGCUGUAUCUGGAUGACUUCCGCCGCGAUGUUGUUCGCGGGCCGGAUUACUACACAUUUCCAUGCCCUGACGAGGGGCCUCUCGGAUUUAAAUUUCUCGAAAGUAUUGAAAGUACGAGAGCGUGUGAACGGACCGGAGCAGGAGAGAGCAGGAGAUGUUGUUUCAAUAAUGUCCCCUUAGGAAGUGCCGUGUCGUGUCGCGUUGUGAAGAAGUACGGCAGGCGUUGUUCCGCCUGUGCGUCACAAGUAAUAGUAAUAAUGAUAUGUUAGUCAUUACCGUAAUCAACGGAAUGCUCAUAACAAUGGUACCGAAGUUGUGGCCCUGAGCCCCUGAGUCCUACCUAGCUCCCCCAGCGACGUUAGCAGGCAUGGCACACCGGCCAGAAUCCGCCGUCCUGCCGCCGCCGCUACACCGUCUGGGGCUGCUGCAGCGGCUGCUCCAUUGCCAGCUCCGAAACCUGCCAUGCCUGGCCAAAGCUGAACGUGUGGUUGCGGCAUAGUCAAAUCGACAGCCGAGUCCUGGUGCCGUACGGGUGCGGCAUCGCAGAACAAAAGCUUAUUGCCAUUUGCUGAACAAACAGUGCGAUGCAGCUCCAGUAAUUGAGAUGCUGGACGACGUGUUACGCGUGUUCACUGCCCGGAGGGCUCCAGGAGAUGCGAUCAAAGCGUAUAGCAGACGUCGCGCAACAGUGGCUCGAUCCCUUCAUAAGCACCACUUGGAGCUAUUUUACGCUAAGUAAUUUCACGCUACGUGAACAUAACAUUGCCUUGAACAACUCAACACAUGUGGAAUCGAAGGAUUCAGCAUUUGUCGUACAAUUGGCGGACAACCAAACCAUACAAGACAAGGCAUGCACAUGCACAUAAGGCCACACGAGCCCCAAAAGCCUGAGCGAAGAUGAGUGACAUCAGUCUCGACGAAACAUAUUUUUGCGGAUGCCGUUUUAUGGCGGAAGGGUUUUCCUGGGCUGGGCCCUUUCCUGGUGUGCUGCCACAAAGGAAAGGCGGGCGGAGGGGAUCACGCGAUGUGCUUCUUUGUAUGUGAGAGGCGUUGGUCAUGAGGGGACCAAAUUGGCCGCUCCAGUCCGAAGGGAUUUCAUGAAAGGAGUCUUCGAUUUUUCUGUGAAUCUAAACCAAAGCUGUUUUAGCGGUGCGUUAGCGGGCCUGAAGAUAUAAAGGGUGCUGUCAAGGCACACCAUGCACUCUUCUAAGUUACCAACUUCACCAGUUCGCAACUCAAUUUGCCUUACAGUACAUGGUUACCCAUCCGGACGCGAUGAAACUCGGGUGGGUGACAAGUCCGGGCAGAUCGACCGUCCAAUUAAAACCCAGCCGGGACUUGCUGGUCAGCGUCCAUGGUUCGAAAGUGAAAAAAACCGACAGUAUGCUGCAUGCUUCUUGCAAAAGGGGAACUGUCAUGUUGAACCUUGCAUACAGCCCAUGUAUUGUUUAGCAUACUGUCGAUGAGUUUGGCUGCAUAAAUUGUUUCAGCCAGCUGUUUUUGGGGUGCGAGCCAACGUCGGGGUCUUUGUCGUGCGAGCUGAGGUCCAGAUUCAUAACAUAAGCGUCAAAGCUUACACACCCUACUCAUUACGGCGAGAUCAGUGCUGUAAUCAGUGCUGUAAAGACGACGUUAAUUUAUAUUGAAGAUCGGCGCAGUUUUCGCUGUCCCACUGCCUUCAAGCCUUUUUGACAAUAUGAGAAGACGUUGUUUAUAGAGCUUCUGGAUUCAUCAGAAUUCACCCAAUUCUUUGACGUCCCAAGGUUUGGGCAACUUUUCACUGUUUUUAUCCUGAACCGUGAAUUCGCGCUGUCAAGAGGCCAGGGACACUGAGCCACCGUGUGCUGUGGUUUGCAGUGGCGGGUGACGGCCUGUGAUUUGCUAUGCGGUUGCUUGCUUUGGGCCUUUGCUUGGUCGGAUUUACUUAUUGCUCACAAACAGUGCCAGAACUAUCUAUGCAUGUGCAUGAAGAGUGUGCACAUGAACGAAAACGCGCCAACUCAAUGCGUGCCCCUUGGUCUAUGGGGGGAGUUGUAACUUAUCGGGGGGGGGGGGUCUGGGGGGGGUNNNNNNNNNNNNNNNNNNNNNNNNNNNNNNNNNNNNNNNNNNNNNNNNNNCAGCGCCCCACCACGUACAGAAUAAAUUACGGCGACCCUCGCCCUAAAUGAAAAAAAUCACUGCGUGUAAUGAGUAAUGUUACAGAGUGGGAGGCUUCUGGGCCGCUUUAUCACACAUUGUCAAUUUUACAAUUUAUCACCUUUAUAGCACCAUCCACCACUACCACACUGUACUUCGCCAUACGAACUGUAAGUCCAAGGCGGCGGAUCCAGCCUUCAGGGAUCCCUCCUCAUCCUUUCACCCGAACAUCCGAAGAGUCGGAGGGUUCGGCAAUCACCACCAAUCCAGCAUGCGAAUCUGGUCCAUCAACUGUGACCUCAACUCCACAGGAUGCAAACGUUGGGGCAUGGCGGUUUCAGCGUGGGCCAGGCACUUAUGCCGCGUGCCCCUAAGUGGGGGCGCGCCUAUCCAGUUCAGAUAGCGACAUGCCUUGACGCCGGUACUUCCACUUUGGAAGGUGCGUGGAUCACCUAGGGUAUCCGGGCACUCCCACCGGGCGUCGGGCCGCCUAGCGAACUCUUUUAAGUAUGCUUCCCCUUGGCAACCUAGCGGUAAUGUAAUGCACUAUGAAGUCGUCACCACGCAGACCGGCUGGGGGCUCAGCUUCCAAACUCUUAAGGAAAGCUAGGAUCUUGCUCGUCCAGCACUCAGCAACACCCCCCAUAGCCAUCUCAAGGUCGGCAAUGAAGGCCCGGUGUGUAGUAGCUGGUACACAGUACGGCUCUAUAAAUACGCGCGUAGCGCGACCACCAGCAUCUCGAGAGGCCUUUUCAGCAGCCAGCUACUACAUUUGCUGUCACCAUCACCUUCUUCCCGUCGAAUCUUCACCGUCAACAUCACCCUCUUUGCCUUGGCAGCCUUGGGGACCAUUAUGGUGGUGAUUGGGUCGGUUGUCCGACACGAUUCGGAGUCGCUCGGCGGUAUUGGUGGACCUGGUGGUACUGGUGCUGCUGGUUGCAGAGCCGCUGCUGCCUCCACUGCAAAUGAAUAAAUCGCAGGAGGCAGCUGUAGCUGGAUAGAGGGACCAGCCGUGGGUGCGGCUUGUGAGGUGCUUAUAUGCGGCUCGUGGGAUGAUGUGGUUUUCCGCAUGCAGACAUGUGAGCAGCCGCAAACGCAGGAGGAUUAGGUAAUGGCUCUUGGGUCGGGUGAAGCAGGGUCUGGUACUGCGUGACCUAUGGCAGAGUUGCGAGCGCUUGGGCAUGUCGCUUGGGGCGUGAGCAGUUUUCUCAACACGGCCAGCACACACUCUCUCAGUGCACUGCACCGCAAUCCAUCGCGCGGCAGUCUAUAUUCAUUUUGUUAUUGAUUUUAUUGAGCCAUGAUGCGGCAGUGCAGAGCGUCGCAAACUUGGUUGGUUUAUUUCGCAGUGAACAGGAUGCGGAGACAGCAGAGCUCUUUGGCCAACCGUAAUCUAUGGAAGUUGCCAUCAUAGCGGAACUGCGCAAGAAAGCACACGCUUUUCAAAUAUGCUUUGCACCAUCAACAUUGCUGACAAGAAGAGGGAAGGUUGUAGAGCACAGCAUGGCCAGCAUGGCCUGCGUGCUGCGUUUGAAGUGCGACUCCUCACCUGUUGCACGUCGGCCGCACGGCCAAGCAAUACUUUGGCUCCAGGAGUCAUCGAGGGCUCAGCCUCCACGAGCGCCCUGGCCAAGCGCUGUAAACCACCAGAAUCCGCGCUGCUGUCGCAAGCGCCCUUAUGCGGUUUAUGUCAGCAGUCCUUUCCAGCAUAAUGACAGUAUGAUGUGGCACAAGCCGUAUGGCAGGUAUGUAAUGAGUCCUCGGAACGGUCAGCCACCGCAAUUGUUUGUUAGGUAUAUGCGGUUGGGUAUCCGGUUCCGCAAUGGGGUCAAGUUUCAGGGACGCACUCCAAACGCGCAUAUCCACGGCAGCACUCCAUAGUUGGCGCUAGUAUACCAGUUGGGCCAUGGAUAUGGAUGUUCUGCAACAGUUUUGAUAGGCCAAGACGAACAUGGGUUUGAUUGAAGACAGGCAGCCCACCCAGCAGCGAACCCAGCUUCUGGGACACGGGAAGGCCUUUGGCCCAAACAACAAACCUUUCUGAGCAUGAAUUUCACACACCGAAAGUGUUCGAAUGAUCGAGGAGAGAUUGCGGCCAGUUCUGCAAUGUGAAAUUUGAAGCCGAGAGCGUCUCGGUGCGUGCGACCAACGUUGUUUCACGUGAAGUAAAGUUGUGUUUCAGCUAUUUUCGGUAUUAUUUGUUGCUUCUGUUCAUUGAAAUUAUGCUACCCGUUUGAGGAUUUUUUUCACGGUAACGGGUGCGUAACCGUACGUUUAUGUCACGGAACCAAGGGUCAUUUGCAUUUCACUCUCCAGACUCCAGACGGCGUUUACAAACCUAUCUAACCAACACUUGGAGCUCUGAAUAUCUCAUCACAUCGUUUCCUUUCGCUUUCAUGCUUUAUGCGUGCGUCCAGUUACACGCGGCCGGCGGCGUUUGUGGAGUAGUAGGCUGCUGCAUGCUGAACCACCGAACAGCCAGCAGCGCUUCCAACAAGUUGCCUGGCCCUCCGCUUUCCGGACACCAUCACGCAUAUUACCAUCAUAUUUGAAUUGGAUGGGAGCGGCGCUAUGUCGUUGCGUCUCGUGCGGCGCCCCAAGCAAUGCUACCGAGGAGUCGGAGCUGAAUGCCGCUCGCCCCGAUAUUGCCGCCAGCACCGCGAUUUUUGCCUCCACAAACUCUGCCAGCCGCAAGCCAAAUCAAAUCUGCGAUCCUCCUCAGUUUUCGCAACAACAACAACAGCAGCAGCCCGCGAUCGCACCGACUGUGGAGGACCCCGAGGGGGCACAGCGCAUUGCUGCCCCAUGGGUCCUUCCAGCGCACCUCAACGUCACUUCGGACCUUUCGGCCACCAACGCGCAGCACCUUUGCCAGCUUCCCGCCAUUCGCGAAGAUUCGUCGUCGUCCUCAGCGCUGCCGCGACCGGCUUCCUUAGAGCUGCAACGGCAGGAGGCCUUAGCGCAGCAGCAGCAGCAGGAGCUAUUAGUCGUAGUACGAAAGGGUCGGUCGCAGGAGGAGGGGCAACAAGAGCAGGAACAGGCCCCAGUUCAAGCAUUCCAACGCGAAGCCGUCGAGCAGAGGCAAGUACGGCGGGACCUGCCGCCGACGGCACCGCUGCCGCCGCCGCCGCGUUGCACCUGGCAGGACGCCGUCGCCGCGAGCAGUAUUGGCUCCACCGACAGCCCCUUCGCCGCCACCGCCGGCGCCACCACUGCCGUACCAUCCUCCGUACCAUCUGCCACCGGGGGAGUUCCCGGGGUGUUGGGGCGCCUGCGACCCCGCACCCCGAGCGCGUUCCUGCUCGCCGACUUGCCGCGCGCCGCUCCUGCGGCAAAAAACAAGAACAACAACAGCAACAACAACGAUAACAGCAACAACAGCAUCCGCAACCACGCUGCGGCAGCGGCACUAAGCGCCGGCGGCGGCGGCGUGGAGCCCAGUUACACACCGGAUUCGUCCACGCCAAGAUCCGGUUCCGUAGGCAGUACACAGGUCAGCUACAGCUCCGCCGGCGGCGUCGCUACUGGCGGCGCCGCCGCCGUCGCCGCCGCCGCCGGCGGUGGUGGCGAUGACUUGGACUCCUUUGAUGCCACAGGUUCGGGACGGUCGGCGAUGGAGUACCAAGCCAUGACGUCAGCGCUGCCGCCGCCGUCGCCGCCGCCGCCACCGACGGUGACGGCGGUGCCCGCGGGCUCAGAGGGCAUCGCGGGGUUUACAGCACACGCGGACGAUAACACGAUGACGGUGUCACCAGCGCUGAGAGCGGCGCUGCGACAGGCCAAGACUCGAUCACGCUGCUCACAGUCCUUUUCGCAAUUCGAUUCUCAGUCGCAGCUACAGCUCCCGCAGCAGCAGGAACGGACCCGUGGGUCGUUUCUGCUACAGCCCAACACGCUCGUGUCUUCCUCUGUAGCGUCGUCCGCCGCAACCUCGGCUGUAGUCGUCACCAUUGGCACCAAUGUGCCGUCAGCUGGAGUGAAUUCCGGGCUACAGUCGCAACAGCCGCCGCCGCCGCCGUCGCGGGCCAGCCUGGCGGCGGCGCUGGCGCACACAGGCGACGGCUCGCUCAGCGCCGCAUCCUGGCUACAGCCACCACCACCGGUGAAGCCGCCGCCACCAUCACGCAACAGCGUCCCGCAGCAGCAGCGGCCGGAGCAGCAGCAGAUGUUGACUCAACAGCUAUCCGAGUCGUACGGAUCUGAAUCUGCCGUAUGCACGUUGCAAAACAUGUACGGCGGAUCUACAGGGCUGAGGCCGCAGCUGCAAGCCGGGACGUGGGGUGAGGAAAGGUCGACGCAGACGCAGACGCAGCAGCAGGGGCAGGCGGAGGUGUUGGCGGCGACGGCGAAAGCGGCGGCUGAGAGGCACCAAGGUCCGACGUCAGCGGAGGUGGCGGCGGCGUUCGCGGCGUACCUGUCGGGAGGUACUGGUGGCGGUGGCGGCGGUGGCGGAGGCGGUGGCGGCGGUGGCGGCGGCGGAGAGCGGCUACCGGGUGCUGCUACAGCCGGCAGCCGCCUCCCCCCCCGCGCGCCGGUGAUUCCUGUGCAACCACAGCAGCGAAGUGGCUCGCCGCAGCCACAGCCGUCGCCGCAGUCGCCGCAGCCGCCGUCGCCGUUGCCGCCGCCGCAGCAGCAGCCACCGCCAUCACAGGUCGAAACUGCUGCCCCAGGAGGGGGAGGAGGGCGGCCUGGCGUAUCCGGCAGUCGUACGACACCCGCUGCUGUUGCCGUCGCUGGAGAAGUCGUCAAGUCGCCGAAAAGGCUCACAGCUGGCGGCGACGGCACGUCCUCACUGUACGGCGGCGCCCGUGUAGCCACGGCGGCGGCGCCUUCCGCCGCUGAUCGCGCUACUUGGGCGCUACAGGGUGGUGGCGGCAGCCGUCUCAAUGACGUGCGUGGCGAGGUGCGUGAUGGAAAGGAUGGUAUCGGAGCGGGAUGCCGUGAUGUCCGGGAAGCCGAGCCAGAGAGGGUGUCGCUGUCUCCUGGGCUUCGACUCCGCCUCCGCCAGGAUCUGGGCACGGAGGCCGCAGCGGCAGCGGGGGCGCCAGGCGGCGGAGGCGGAGGCUCGGAGAAGGGCAUUACUCUUGGCGGCGGCGGCGGAGGCGACGGAGAUGAUGAAGACGACGGAGGCAGUGGCGGCGCCGAAGAGGAAGUGGAGCCGAGUGCUGAAGCUCCCGCCGGCGGCGGGGCCACCGCCGCCGCCGCCGCCGCCGCUGCCUCAGCCGCCGCCAUGGCUCCCACAACACCUGCUAGUGCGUUCCGCAGCGGCGACCAGUCGGGCAGGUCGGUGGGCGGCGCUGGCAAAGGUAACAAGUUCCGGGAGAAGUACGGCACCAUGGCGGCAGCCAUGGGGCUUCGUACGGCACCUGAUCGCAGCAGCCGCCCCGCGCAGACGGCACCGGCGACCCUCAGGGCGCAGAUGCGUGCGGCGGCGGCUGCGGCGGCGGCGGCCGCUGCUGCCACUGGCGGCAGUGUUGGCGGCAGCGGCGGCGGCAACUCCGGCGCUCGCGUGUUGUCAACCGUCAUCGCGGGAAGCACGGGCCGCAUCAGCGGCAACGGCGUUGCGUCGCCGUACGUCCCACGUGGAUCAAUGUCAGCCCGGUUGCCGUCACCCAUGCGGCCCAGAGGGGAUUUCGGUAGUUACGGCAGCGGCGGCGGCGGCUUGGCCAGCGGCGGCAGCUUCAACGAAGGGGCUUUCGCCAGCGGCAUGAUCGUCCUUGGCGGCAGUGGCGACUCGGCGGAGGGGUCCAAGCUGCCGCCAGUGUCGGAAAUCCCUAUGCCGUACUCGAUGUUGGGAACGUACGGCUCCGGCGUUGGCAGUAUGCGAGGCCGGCUGGUAUGCCCUGUCGUGGAGGAAGACGGAGAGGGAGAGGGAGAGGGAGAGGAAGCUGGCGACGCGCCGCNNNNNNNNNNNNNNNNNNNNNNNNNNNNNNNNNNNNNNNNNNNNNNNNNNGUAAGCGGCGGUUCCGCUGCCGCCGCCGCCGCCGCCGCUGCCGUCUCAGCAGCAGCGGCAUCAGACGACGCCGCAACAGACGCGAUCCGGCAGCGGCGGCGGCGGCGGCGGCAGCGGAACCGCCGCCAAUGUUACAGUUCCCCAAUUCGGGUCGCAUGUGUCGUCCGUUGUCUCGACUCUCUCCUGGAGUUCCACGCCAGGUGACCCAGGGGUCAGUGAGCCAGAAAAUGCCGAAGCGGCUGUGGCGGCGGAAGCGGCGGCGGCAGUAGCGCACAUGGCCGUUGAGCUCCGAUCGGAUAUGAAAGGGUUGCGGGGCUCAUCAAGCCUUACGGUUUCCACCGCCGCCGCCUAUGGGCCAAGGACGCCGGCGGCGGAGCAGCGGCAGCCGCCGCCGCCGUCGGCGUCGCCGCCGCCGCCGCCGCCACGCGCUGCUUCUCCAUUCCGCGGGUCGCCGUCACGCGACGACUUCAUGUCGCCUUUCCAUGCCGUCGGCCGCAGCCAAGGUCAGGUCUCCGCCGCCGCCAGCUCGGUGAGUAGUAACUCCAGUCCCGAGCGCCGCCCUGAUCGCGCAGGGAGCCCGACGCCGUUGUUGAUGUCGUACGGCCGCCCGGGGCCUCGCCACCACCGCACCCCGGCGGUAGCUCCCCGUAGCCCAGUCGGCAGUAGCCAGCUGCCGUACCACCAGCCGGCCACUCCACAGCUACAGCCGGGGCCGCCAAGCCAGCCGCCGCCACCUCAGGGCCGCGCAACUCAGGCCCAGCAGGCUCAUGUUCAGGACCAGCCACAGCUACUGCCACAGCUACAGCCGUCGCCGCCGCCGUCGCCGUCCCGCAAAGCGCCUCCGUCCUCCGCAGAAUCACGACAGCCGGUACCAGUAGCGGCGGCAGCAGCAGGAGGCCAGACGGCGGCUGCAGCAGUAGCAGGGGAGGCGGCGGCGCUGCCGUCGCCUUUCUCCAGGGGGCCGCCAGCGGGUGGUGGCAUGGUAGGCAGUAGCAGCGGCGGCGGCGCCGGCGCCGGCGCUGGCGGCGGAGACGGCAGUAGCAACCGAAAUUCCUUAUGCUUGGGGCCGGGAGCGGAAGGAGGCGGCCAACGAGGUUAGAGUUUUGAGGUGUCGUACUCUAGUGCUCACGGAUUGGACGAGCUUAGGAACUUGUAGAUUAUCGUGACAGGGCAACAGCAUCAGUUUCGACAUCUCCCUAAACAUCAACCACCCUGACAUCAAUGUGAUGAACAGCGCCAAGAAAUAUGGUCGUCAGAUGAAGAAGUAUUGUCGUGUCGAAGCCUAAUGUUGUGGCGUGGUGUUGUGUGGCGAUGUUCUUCGAUGUGUGCCGUUGGCGUGUGUAUGUGUGUAUGUAUGUCGUUACAGGGUGGUUAAGCUUCACCAGCGGCCCCCUUUCCCUUGGAGGCAGUUCCCGGCUCUCCCCUACUAGAGGGGCACCCAAAUCCGUUCACCCCAUCCAACUUCAGAAUGUAUUCGUUGGGUUCAGCAACUCACCACCAGCAUCCAACCAAAUCUAGCGGAUCAACGGCGCAUCAACUAAAUUCCUGGUCAGCUCGCAAGAAAAGUUAUUCCAUUUCGCUACCGGGACUCGAACCCGGGUCUCGAGAGUGAAAAUCUCAUAUCCUAACCGCCUAGACUAUAGCGAAGAAGAAGUAUGUACCUAUGCGUAUAGGUCUUUGUAGAAAGAUCUGGUCACCUGGUGAGUGUGUGGGGGGGGAGAAAUAGCCGCGUUAGGGACGGGGUUGGGGUUGGGGUUGGGGUUGGGGUUGGGGUUGGGGUUGGGGUUGGGGUUGGGGUUGGGGGUGGGGUUGGGGGUGGGGUUGGGGGUGGGGGUGGGGGUGGGGGUGGAAGGGAAGAGGAGAGUUUGGGGUUCAAAAAGGGAUAAGGUGGGUUUUGGGAGAUCACUGGCCCCAGACGUGACAUAAAAUACAUUAUAUACACUGUUAUUGUAUAAUACGUACUAUAUAAUAUCCUUUAUUUUUUGUAAUGUGAUUUAUGUUUUAUUUUGGUGUAUCCUGAUGUAGCAUUAAACAUUUCCGUACUGUACUGCAUGCCUGUUUACCCGCCGCCGCCCCUCCAUAACUCCAUUCCUUUGCUCGUCUUUCCCCCCUCCCUCUCUCCCUCCCCCGCAGCUCCCUUCAGCAUGUGGUCGGGUGCGGCCGUCUCCACCCUCUCCGCCUUCUCUCAAACCGUGAGGUCGCUUCCAAGCUGCCAUCCAAGUCCUCACGGCGCCGCCAGGGCCCAACACCCGCCCGCCUUGUCGUGCGGCGGUGGCGGCGGCGGCGGAUCUCACAGGCAAUUACUGACGUCAAUGUCGUCGAUCUCGUCCACUACUACCGCCGCCCCACCUCCCGCCGCCGUCGCCACGCAGUCGCCGCCACCGCCGCCGACAACUCCCGUACAGCUAGCACCGCCGACAGACGCUGCGGCGGAAGGCGUUACAGCGAGCGGCGAUGUACGGGACGGAUGCGGCGGCAAUCGGGUGCCGCGGCGGCCGUCAGCCAUCGCGGAGCCGCCGCCGCUGCCGCCGCCGCCAUCGGGCCUGGCGCUGGUAGAUGCGGCGGUAAUGGCGGCGGCAGCCAGACCAACGAACCAGCUGCCGUACGCACCGGUCGCGGCGCAGGUUGAAGCCCCACCCCCGGGGGUUGUCCAAGGCCUUGCGCACCCAGCAAACGUAAGCGGCUUUGGCGGCGACAGUAUCACAUCGCGACGAACGACAGUCGGCGUCACAGCCCUGGAUGCUGAUGCCGUACCGCAGAUUCCCAGCACCGGCAGCGGGUACGAUGUCUGCGCCCCUGUUUAUGUGCCGUACGGUCGAGAGAUGGGGCUCAGGGGAGGCGGUGCAAGAAGCGCCAUUGUUGGCGGCGGCAGUAGCGGUGUCAGUGCAGGCGGCAGCGACGGCGGCGGUGGCGUUGGCAGUAGCACUCUGGGUAAUAGGACGCUGUCGUGGGCCUUACGCACCGCGCCAGCGCGAUGGGAUUCCGCGUUUUCCCGUACGGGAUCGUCUCCCGAUGGCGGCAGCCGCCGCCGCCGCGCCGCCGUUGGCGNCGNCGACAGGCUCGCCGCCAGCACCGGCAUCGAGGGCUGCGCCGAAAUCUUGAAAGUGAACAGCGCCGCUCCCGUCGGCCGUACGGCAGAUAGCCGCAUGGAACGAUCUGCUGCGCCGUCGGCGUCUGGCGCGGAAGCUGCCUUACCCAGGCUCGAGUUCACGUUCGGCGACCCUAGUUCUUUGCGUUCCCGAAGGCGCUCGUCAUAUGCCCGUUGUGAUACGAACCGUUUAGGGGAAACGGCCACGUGAUAGUAAUCGCAGUUAGAAUCGUUGAUUACGACGUGGAAGUUCAUCUUGCACAGCCUUAGUAAAAUUCACUCUCCUUCAGGACGUCGCUUUCCUCACUCUUAACCCUAAAACCUUAAAGCCAUAAGUCCCUAAAACCCUAAAACCCUAAAACCCUACCAUUCACACCGCAGGUUGCUGCCGGGGCUGGGUCAGACACCAGCAACGCAGCAGCAACGGCGCCACCAGCCGUACAUUUGCAGUACGAUAACUCCCCCAGCAUGGGAACACCCAUAUCCGCCGCUUACAUCACUCGUACGGCGGCGCUGCCGUACAUCUCCAUCACCUCAACCGGGGACCCGGAAUCGCCAUUUCGCGCCACAGUGGCCGCAGUGAGUACGACAUCGUCGCCGAUCCCGUCGCCGAUCCCGUCGCCGAUCCCGUCGCCGUCGGCAGCGACGGCGGCGACGGUGGCGUCGUCAGAGUCCCCCCGACCCCGGAGACCGUCAGCAUGGCCGUGGGCUUUCCAGGGGGAUCGCGAGGGCGACGGGGGAGCAGAGGAAUGCCGCCAACACGGUACGGCAACGCCGCAUCCCCCGCCGCCGCAGACAACUCCCGCCGCCGCUGCCACCCUUUCCAUUCCUUCCGGCGGCGGAGCGUUCACCCCAUCGGCUCCGUCAGGCCCGCAGCGAUCCGUACACACACCAUCUGCUGAGACAGCCUCGAGGACGACAUCAUGCCGUACAAGUAGCGGCGGCGGCUUCGUCGGGAAGAGCACGGCGGUGACGGCGACGGCGGGAAGAGCACCCGAGCAGCGGCGGCGGCGGCAGCCAGAUACGGCACCUCCGCCACCGCCGCUGCCGCUGCCGCCGCCGUCCGACCUACCCGCGCCGUUUAUCUUUACCUUGACCCCUUGUGUGCCCCUCUCGGAGGUCGAGAACCUGUUGUCGCUGGUGGCCAACGUGUUCCAGGUGUGGGGUGGAUGUGUUUUGUACGACAUGAGCUGUCACAGCCCCCCCAUCUCCAUCCCCUGGUACGGCAACAAGCAACAACUCGAGGAACCGAGCACGACUGGUACAUUUGGAUUUUCAUGUUCAUGUUCACGUUCAUGUUGCAGUCCAUCCAUCCCUUGUGCAAUAAUUCCUAAAGUUGCAAGUGCAAGUGGUUCUGGGGUUUGGGGCAUUACUUGCUCGUCCUCCAUGCCCUUCUCGUCCCCUUCCCCCGCCCCUCCCUCCCUCUCCCGGGUUCGCGGUUCUCGUGUUUUCCUCCUCCCUCUCUCCCGCACCCACCCAGUCGCCACGGACGCCUUUCGGUCAGUUUUUACGUUUGCUACUCUCUUGCCCUGGCAGCAGCUUCAAUCGUGUGUGGUUCGUCUUUCCCCCACCCUCCUUGGCAGCAGCUUCACUCGUUCGUCCCUCCCCCCCCUACCUGCCCGGCUCCCUGCCACCAAAGGUUCCCAUAGUCAUGGUGGCGGCCCACAUGCCGGGGACAAUCUUCGUGAAGGUAAACAAAGAGGCGGUCGCCACUGCUGCUGCUGCUGCGGCGGCGGCGGCGGCGCCGCAACGGCCAACCGUCGAAGGGAGGAGGGGUACGGACGCCGCCACGAACGGUCUGAUUGCCGACGUGGAAUGGCAGUUGCGGUUGGGCGCGUGGGCGGUUGGAAACUCCGCCGCAAUACAGCCGCCGCCGCCGCCGCCGCCCCUGGCGGGACCCUCCUCCUCCCGCGGUCAAGGAGGUCCCCGGGGGGGCGGAAGUGGAGGCGGAGGUGGCGGCAGGGAGGUGAUUGUCGAAGAUACACUCAAGGAUGAACGGUACGACAACAAUUCAUUUUCUUUUCGGUUCCGCAUAUUUCGGAUCCGUACGUUUUUUGAACGCACCUUUGAGCGUCCCGUGUGGGUGGACGUCAUGAUGUGGGGGGGGCCCCGUGUUAAAAGACGGACUCGACUUCAGAAUUUGGUGCUGUCUGUCUGUCUGUCUGUCUGUCUGUUAUUUUAACAGACAGACAGACUGUCUGUCUGUCUGUCUGUAAUUCUAACAGACAGACAGACAGACAGACGGAGUAAAAAUCCAUGGAAAGGAAAAGCGCUAAAAUUUGCACGCAAAAAAAAUCGAAAACAAGAUUUCUUCUCAUUCUUUUUCAUGUGUUUACUCUCAUUUCAUCUUCAUCUUCAGAUUUUUGUUGACGGGGUCCCUAGACCACUUCCAACUAAACCAGCACUAGGUUGCCGCCCAAGAAAGGCAGCAACACCCGUAUGGCCUCUCACUGGGCAGUGUCGGACUUCGGAAGCCUGCAGUUCACUUUUGAAUUUUUUGCAUCAUGAAUGAUUCGAGCAAUGGUGUUUGUCGUACACCAACAGACUGUCGCGCGAGGCGUUCGUACGUAUGUCACCGCCGGUUCGGUUUAUCAUGGCGGUUGCGCUGGAGGACGAGCGACCUAACAGGAGCCCUGGCGGCGGCGGUGGCGGCGGUGGCGGCGGCGGCGCCUCCGCCGUAUUUGCGCAGCCGGAUGUUCCCGCGGUAAACUCGCCGUCUUCGGCGGCCUCGGCGGCGGCAAGGGCGACGGCCGCAGUGGGCGUGACCGGCGGCAGCAGUUCUUCCACCACCGCGCGGCGGCGGCGGUGCCGCCACGGCGACGGCGGUGGUAGUACGGCGUACGAUGGAAAUGAGUACGACAGCGGGAGCGACUCUGAUGAUGAGGGUUUCCUUCGGUUGCUGGGGACGCUGUGUCUGGCAGAUUUUAAAGUGCGUUGGUGCGUCUGUGUACGAGCUCGUACACUGCCGUACGCAGUCGCCUCAGAGAACCUUUGUGUAGUUCAGGCUCCUCCUACGGCUCCCCUUCUCCCCCCCUUCCGCCUCACCUAAGUCAUACACACAUAUAUACAUACACGCGCUCCAUCUCCCCGCCCUCCCUCCCCCCCCCCNNNNNNNNNNNNNNNNNNNNNNNNNNNNNNNNNNNNNNNNNNNNNNNNNNGCCCGUACAGCCUCGGCCCGCGGCUUCUGUCCCCCUGCACCUGCUGGCCAACAUUCGAUACCUGCUGCUCAGUCAACUCAGCAGAGAUGUACGGCUGUACGACGAACGUCAGCGAUCCAGGGUGAGUGUACGGCAGCGCACUGCCGGGUUGUUACGACAUGCACAGAGACAGGGCGCGCGACCGACCGACGGACCGACAGACAGCUGCUGAACCCCUAGUUCACUAGUCCACUUCCGCCCCCGCAAUUUAUUCCACCCUAAGCCCCCAACCAUUCCGGGGUUUCCAAACCCAAAUCCAUCAAAACCCAACCCGCACUCCCCCCCCACCCCUCACUGCCCCCCACCCACCCCUCCUCCGAAAUCCAAUCCCCCGUACCCACCCAUCCCUAUCCCUAGGCCGUACUGUCCGACCUGCUUCUCAACCUUCAGCGGCUCCUCGACCGCCAUGACCGGUGCCUCCUCCUGGUGGACCUCGGGUCGGGACCCAUGGGUCGGUGGCCCGUGCUGUACGCCAACCACGCCUGGACGUCCAUCACUGGUGGGCCCCGUCGUAGCCCCGGAGGGGGUAGUGGGGGUUGUGGGGUUUUACAGCCGUACGGCAGUGUGGUGCAUAUGGGGCUUAUAGGCUAGGGAGUUUCGGUGGGUGCUUGGGGUGGUUGGACCAAUGAGUAUUGGUGGGUUGGUGGUUGGUAUGUUGGCGCAGGCUGACGUGUGUGUACGACGACCCAUAUAUAUGUGGUGGGGCGCCCGAGGCAUACGUAAUCUUUUCGAUGUGUGUACGACAGGUAUACCCCGUGAGGACGUCGUCGGUUGCGACAUUAAGGAGCUCAUCACUUCCGCCGCCGCCGCCGCCGCGGCCGCCGCUCCUGCGACGGAGGCAGCAGAAGCCGCGGCCGCCGCCGCCGCCGCCGACAGGCCGACGGGGCCGACGGCGUUGACCAUCGUACCGAUUGACUGGGGCCGCUACUCGGCGGCGUUUUUGCGGCAGGAGGAUAUUGUGGUUGAAAACGCCCAACUGCCAACGACCGGGGCGUCAGCCGCCGCCGCCGCCGCCGGAGGUGACGGUGACGGUGACGGUGACGGCUGCUCCGUUGGACCUAGCCUGCUGGCGACACUGCGUUUUCGGUGAGGGGUUUAGCUCUUUAGACUUUGGAUUUGGAUUCGCAUGUCUUUCGGAUUUGAAUUUGAAAAUUGGCGGCCUUCUAGAGGGGCCAUGAUGAGAGGUGCUCGCGAGGGGGGUAAUGAUCUGAGGGAUUGGGCAGUAAGAGUGGCUUUGGCGACUUUAUGUUGCCGUGCAUGUGUCUUCCCGUACAUGACCUCGGGUCGUACGCUUUGAAUAUCCCCGGGGUCCCCAUUCUCCCGCCCCGCACUUGCCACCCCCCUUCGCGGCCCAGAUUCGCGUAUUUUCAUCUUGAAGAAUGCCGUACACUCUUUUCAUUUAUAAUGUACGAUGUACGACAGGUUUGUAUCUCGCGAGUUCGCCCAGGAAAGUGGUCUGCUGCCGUCAGGCUGGCGGCCGCUCAUCGGUGCGAUCCCGGAGCGGGGGGGUCCUGGGAGGGCGCUGCUGCUGGUGACACCAAUACACACCGCCGGUACACACGCGCCGCAGUCGCAGCCCCACUCGCAGCGGCCGCAACCUCCGCGACCCCCGGAGGUUGGUUGGGGGGGUUGGGGAAGACUGCCUGUGCGGUAGGAGGGCUGUGGCUGGCUGGGGGUUGUGUGUUUUGGGGGGGGGGGAGGGACGGGGGGGGAGGGGAAGAGGGGGGUUAGAGAAUACCGCGCAGUUAGCCAGUGCGCCCCACCCCACUGAGCGACCCAUGGGUCGCACGUAAGGAACAAAGUCACGGGUCAGAGACAGCGUUAUUUUUUUGCGGAAUAUAUUCCGAAUUCGGAAUAAAAAAAUCCGUGGUCCUGAACGUUAAGAAUAAAUAAUGUUCCAACCGUACAAGUUCAUUCCUCCAGCCAAAAAUGGACUGUCCAUGCCAAACCCGCUAGAAUCUUACAGGAGACAUACAUGUUACCCAUAUCAUAGUACUUUAAUGCCAUGGAUACUGUUAGGAGGCUCACGCCCGAAAGUCAACGAGGAAUCGGACUGUUUCUGACCGGACCAAACGCUGCAAAACAUUCGGACCCGAAGCUCCCAAAGCAUUGAAGGCCAUUAAAGCAGAUACUAAAUUUCACUGAAGCCAUUAGCGACGUUAAUGAAGACGGUGUAGGGGUCGUAGGCAAUGUGGACGCAAUGCUGCAGCCAGCCGACGACAAUGACGCCACUCCGGUUGUCAACAGCGAGCGGGGCAAACAUCAAUGUUCCUCAUAUGGAUACAAUCGCGAUGGGCCAAUGGAAACCGGUUGCGUUUGGUGGUUCCGGUUGAUUGCUGCUAUGCAUCAUUACUUCUGCAACUUGGAAAGUCGUGUAGUGUUAUCUUUCAACGUGAUGCAAGAUGAACGAUGGUGAACGAACUCUAUUCGAUCAGUGCUUGAUAGAUUGGUGUGCGCAUGUUGCGACAUUCCCCAAACCCGGCGUUUGCACGAACUAAACUGUAACUCAUGGGGGGGGUCUGGGGGGGGCGGAGCCCCCCCCCAGCGCCUUACAGAUUCGGAAUACCUUUAUUCCCGCGACUAAAAACCUAUUCCUCCGUUCGGACUGGUAAAUUAACCGGCAGAAAUGAAAAAAAAACUGGUCAGAGACCCACGGGUCAGAUAACAUUAAUUGGCACUUUCCGCUGCGGACGGGCACUUGUGAAAGGAGGCCCCCUUGUUGAUGUUGUUACAGGGUGGUUAAGCUUCACCAGUGGCCUCCUUCCCGAGGCAAUUCCCUGCUCUCCCCUGCUAGAGGGGCACCCUAAGCCAUUCACCCCAUCCGACUUCAGAGUGUACUCUUUGAGUUUGGCAACUCACCACCAGCAUCCAACCAAAUCUAGCGGAUCAACGGCGCGUCAACUUAGUUCCUGGUCAGCUCGCGAGUUGAUUUUAUCACGUCCUACACCGUCCACAAGAUGGGGGGCCACCUCCCAUUUCAUCACCUCUCAAACACCCCUUGUUAGAGAUCUCCCCCUCCCCCAAAUCAUAUCUCCCAAAAAUUAUUUCUCCCGAAAAUUGCUUCAAUCGUCAGUGCUUCGUCCUACCUCUAAAUGUCCCCCAAUUGAAGGAGAGUCCCCAUUCGGCAGUGGACCAGUGUUGCCAUUACUUCACACGAUGCCAUAUAUGCCGUACUGCCAUGUUGUCGUACUGAUGCCGUACUACUUCAGGCGGGGAGCUAUACAUCGGCCCGGCGGCCCGGCUGCUCCAGCCGCAUCCAAGUGCCAGGGUUGGAGCUCAAGCACGUCUUGGGUAGGGGCGGUUUCGGAGCGGUGUACUACGGGUUAUGGUACGGCACUCCUGUGGCGGUAAAAACCCUGGACAUGGGGUAAGAGGAGCGAGGGGGUGGGUGGGCUUAGGCGGUUUAGGGUGGUGGAAAGUAUGCGACGAUGGAUUCUGAAACGCUGCUCUUUAUGAUGGGGGGGCUAGGGGGGAGGCUAGGGGGGCUUGGAGCGAGACGGAUGUGGGGUCGUAGACGGAUUUGAAGGGUGGAGAAUCUUCCUGAAUUUGUUCUUGCUGUAAUAUAAUUAAAUUAAUUGUACCUUCCGGCACCGUUUCCUGCACCGUUAUUAUCUUCCUAAUGAUGCUGUUACCCUUGAUGUUUGCUCUCACCUUUCAUAAUGGGUGUACGGCAGAUCCGAAACCGUAGCCCAAGAGCCCAAGAACCAUGCACAGCUGUAAAGGAUGAUGUUGGUGACGCAAUCACCACCGUUUCCAUUCACCAUCAGCAUCAGCAUUUUAUCAUUAUCAUAGCGGUACAGACGGUAUGCAGUAUGACGGUACGGCACCUCUUGCUCGUCCACCCACAGGAGCAGCAAGCUUUCCGCACAGGGCGCCUCCCUGGAGGCGACGAUGGGCCAGGCGCUGGACCAUCCAAACAUCGUCAAGACGCUGCUUUAUGUUGACAGCGGCUGUCGUGCAGCUCCAACGGCGGCAGCGGCGGCGCCGGCAAGUACCCCGGCAGGUCCUCGCAACGCCGAUACGGAAGCCGCCGCCGCCGCCGCCGCCGCCGCCGCUGCCGCCGCUAGCGACCGACCGGCUGUGGUCGGUCCGCCACCGCCACCACCACCACCACCGCCGCCGCCGCUACCGCCGCGGACAGCCGCGGCGGCGGCGGCGGCGGCGGCAGCGGCGGCGGUGGACAACCAGAUGAAGAACGGCGCCGGCCGCGGGACCGGUACGGCAGCAGUGCCAUUGAGCGGCCUAGGACCGGCGGCGCUGGAGCUGUCGCCGCCGUCGCUGACACUUAAGACGCCAACAAUGUUCCCGGCGGACCGCUUUGCGGGCUUCCGUACAGCCAUGCCUGAUGGCAGUACGUACUGCUUCGGUGACGGCAGUACGGGUGCCAACUUCUUCAUGUUGGGCGGCCCGCCGGGAAGCCCAACCGCUGGCGGCGGCGGCGGUCGCGGCGGCGGCGGCGGCGACGCUGGCGGCGACGGCGGCACACAGGACAGUGAGCCGCAGCACGCGGGCCCUCUAACCGAGGGCGAAGGAAGCAGCAGCCUCGUCCCGCGGAGACUCUUUAGCAACAUCCUCCGUACGGCACGUGCAUUUGGCAUCGGCGGAGGCGGCGGAGGCACCGCCGCGGCCGCUGUACGGACGCUGGAGCCCGUCGUAGAGGGCGCACCGCAGCGCAUGUCUUGGUCGGUGCAGUCCGGAAACGGCAGCGGCUCGGCGUCGGCUGAGUCCUCUGCACGCCGCGGGCCGCCGCCAGCGGCACAAGGCCCCGGCGGCGAUGUAAGGCAAAGCCAAGCGCCACUUUGGCAAAUAUGGCGGGGGGGCAGACUUCCGCCGCCACCGCCGCCGCCGCCGCAACAACCGCAAGUCACGACGCAGCAGCUUGCGGCUAUAUCGUACGACGAUCAAACGACCCACGUCUUCUCGACGGCCGCCGCCACGGCGACAAUUCGAUUGGGUCCAAGCGGUGACGGAGGAGGAGGCGCCGCCGCGGGAAUGCUGACGCCGACGUCGACGCUGCCGCCGCCGCCGCCUCUGCCGCCGGUCGCGGAAUCCGACCGCAUCCUGAGCGGCCCCGGUGGCGCCGGCGGCGGCAGCGGCAGCUACAAUCACAGCCUUAGCGGCAGUAGCCUUUGGACGAGCAUGACGUCAGCACAGAUUGCCGCCGCCGCCAGGCUGACGUCAGCGUCGGCGUUCGUGCGGCAGCGGAUCAUCGUGACGGGUGAAGGAAGUUCCGGCGACGUCAGGACCAGUUCCGCCGCCGUAACGGCUGCAGACAUUCUUCAGCUAUCUUCACCGCCGCCGACAUCACAGCAACAAUUCCACCAGUUUCAUCAACAACAGCACCGUAAUGCAUCGCCGUCGUGGCUUCUGCAGGGCCUGGGGGCGUCCGGGGCUGGCGUCGGCGUCGGCGCUUGCGCCGUCGCGAGCUGCGGCACCGUCGACGGGGAUGGCGGCGCGACCGCAGCUCUGGCGCAUGCGCCGAGGCUGUUGGAAGAGCAUCGUACAGGAAGGCCGCCACCGCCGUCGCUGUCCGUACAGUCGCGCCGACGAACAUUCUGGAGCGGGCCCUGCGGCCUCGCGGCCGGCGACUCGCUCAAUAGUGCGGUAGCAGUUAGCCAAAUGCCGUUACCGAUGACGCAGAUGUCGUACGCGUCCCGGGCGGCAAUGGCUAUGGAGAUUUUUGAGGGCGCCUCUGACGCCGCUGCGAACGAUGGCGGCGGUGGCGGUGGCGGCGGCGGCGGCGGCGGCGGCGGUGGUGGCAGGGUCAGGCCUGGUGCCGCCGGCGCCAGCUUAUUUGAGGNNNNNNNNNNNNNNNNNNNNNNNNNNNNNNNNNNNNNNNNNNNNNNNNNNNNNNNNNNNNNNNNNNNNNNGAGGAAANGGCUGUCGGAAGCNGCGGCAGCGGCGGGACGAAUCAGCCGUUACAGCCGCCGCCGCCGCCGCAGCCGCCGCUACCGCCUCCACAGGUGGGGGGAAGGGCUGGAUACUCAUUAACAGCCCCAGCGUACCGUACGGCAUCUACGCCGCCGAAUCUGCCGCCGGUCCCGCCGACGCCGGACUGCUCGCCGGCGUGUAGGAGGGCGGCGCUCCAGGCGGGGCCACUGCCGGAGCUGCCAGCAGCAACAGGACCUCGGGCGGCGCCGCCGCGACCGCCGCUACCGCCAGAUGCGGCAGUGGCAGCGGCGGCGGCAAGUCUGUUUGUAUCUCCGCCGACUGUUCUCCGUACAUCGGAGGGUGGCGGCGGCGGGGGCGGCAGCGGCGCUGCCCUGCCGCCGCCGCCGCCAGGGGUACACGGGCUCCCUGGGACCUCGUGGAUCCGGGUCGCUGGUGUCGUACAGGGCAAGGACGUUCCUGUCGGCGGCGGUGUGCGUGGCCGCCCGAUUCGAGCAGCCUCGUUGCCGCUGCCGCUGCACGAGGACGUCGUUACGGAGGUUGCUGGAGCUGCUGCUGCCGCUGGCGGCGGCCAGGGCAGCGCCGCCGCUGGCGGCAGUGGCAACGGAGGUGGCGGCGGCAACGGCGGCUCGCACCGGAGCUCAGCGUCAUUCUCCGUAAUCGAUAGCGACAGCGACUUGAUGGCGCCGACGCUAGAUAGUCCUCGUACGGCAGCAAGAAAGGAGCGUCAGGCGAAGAAGGCAGCUGCGGCGGCGGACGCCGCCGCGGCUGUCGCCGCCGCUGCGGCUGCCGCCUCUGCCGCAGCCGCAGCCAGCGACCCCUCAAUCGGCUUGAAGCCGGCUUGUGGCGGAUUUGGCGGCGCCGGCGGCAGCAUCAUCGCCGGCAGCGGCGGCGGCGGCGGCGGCGGCAGCUCAACAGCGCUGGUCACAACCCCGUUGGAGCCUCCGGAGGAGAUUUGGAUAGUGAUGGAGUAAGUUGUCCUAAUGCUGUAAAAUUCCACUGCCGUUACUGCCGCACACACAGAGUUAUGUAUGACUCGUAAAUGUGAUCAUCGCACGAUGUCGGGCAUUGCUGCCGUUCUCUUUGAAUGCACACACAGGAAUAUUUCCCGUGCUGCAGCCCCCGCUCUUUGCUGCUUAAAUCCGACCCGACCGCCCUGCCGCCGUAAAACCAUUUUUACGGCCCUCAUCUCACCACCCCCAUCCCGCCCAUCCUUUUGUACGACACGCGUCAUCAUCAUCAGGUAUUGCGACUUGGGCACGUUGCAGGUGCGAGUGGUUGGUGUCGUUGGUGAUCCGUUGGCGGUUGAUCCUUUUGGACCUGGGAUCUGUUAGAAGCGAUUUACAUAUUGAUGAAGGAGCCGUUGGUCCGGGAGCCCGUCGGGGAUUCAGAGGUUUAGGGAUGGGCGGCGGGGGGGGGGUGGACGCGACAAGUAAUUUCCUGCUGAUCUCGUCCCCUUCUCCUCGUCCUGCUCGUCCUCUUCUCCUCGUCCUGCUCGUCCUCUUCUCCUCGUCCUGCUCGUCCUCUUCUCCUCGUCCUGCUCGUCCUCUGCUCAUUCACGGUCAUGAUCCCUGCUCGUCUCCCCGCUCGUCCAAUGUGAUUGUACGAAUAGGCCGCCCUGGAGCGCGGCCUUUUCGUCCUGCCGGCGGACCCCGUCAGCACCAUCCACCCUAGCGGGGGCGUCUCCGCCGCCGCCGCCGCCGCCACCGCCGCCGCCACCAUCGCCGCCUCCGCCGCCUCCGAGCGGGGCCGUCGCCCCUCCUCAAUCGUCUUCUCUCAUCACCACUUCCAACUGCCCAGUGUACAACAGCAACAGAUAGGGGCAGGUAGCGGGCUUGGGGGACCUCUGGGGGCUGACGGCGGCGGCGGCGGCGGCGACGGCGGCGGCGGCGGUGCCGGCAGCAGCAGUGCAGACGGGCGGCUACGGCAGCAACAGCCGCCGUCACCGCGGGACGUGGAUAUGCGGGCCCUGGUGGCUACAGCUUUGGAGGUGGCGUCAGCCCUGCGGUACCUGCACUCUCUGGUCGGUUGCAGGUUUUAAGGGUUUUAGCGGUUUUUUAAGGGUUACAAGCUAGGGUAUAGCUUGUUCGUAGUUUUUUAUCUUAAAUUAUCUUAACUUCAAAACAGGACAAUAACCAGCAGCAGCAAACCCCCGUUUGCAUGCAGCCGCGGGAACCGGGUCCCGUUUGGGGCCGCCCGCGUUUUAGUGUGCUGUAUAUUUUGCUAUAUUUAUAAACCCCCAGCGUGUGUGUACGGCACAACAUGAGAAGAGGAUGACCCACAACACCAUGGUACUGCGUCAUUGCGCCCUUCGUCAUCAUCAGGGUGUCGUACACGGAGACCUGACCAGCCACAACGUAAUGCUGCUGUCCAUGGAUCGUACAAAUCUGCCGUACGAUCGGUCAAGAUGCGGCUCCGCCAUCCCGGCGAGCUCUCCGAGGAGCACCGCCGCCGCCGCCGCCGCCGCCGCCGCCGCCCCGACGAUGGCUUCCGCCGUCGCAAACAUCGCCGCGGGCGGUGGUAGCGACACGCUGCCGGCGGUGCGGCGUCAGCUCUCCCAAGCCGCGAUCACAGCCAUGGCGGCGGCAGCGGCGGCCGCAUCGACGGCGCCGCCGCCGCGCCACGUCUGUACCACCAUGCGGCGAACUAGCAGCUGUAGCAGCUACAGACCCUCCGCUCUGCCCAGCGGUCCGGGUCGUACCAUCAGCGAGCUUAGCGAGUACAGCGGCACCGUGGCGGCGACGCUGCCGCCGCCGCCGCCGCCGCUGGGAACCUGCACUCCGUCGAUCUCUCCGGCACCGUCCGUGGCGGGCACGGGGCCUCCAUCCGCCGCCGCCAGCGCACUGGCGUCCGGACCGCCCCCCAGCGUCACACCCUCCGCCGCCUCGGGGGGGUUGUGUGCGGCGCCGCCAACACAAAUCUGUCGAAACUGCGGACGCAGCUUUGUGGCCAAGGUUGGACAUAGAACGCGGGUUCGGGGAGGAGAUGGAAGAAAGAAACCCCUCUGACCAGAUGGAUCGAGUCAAAUUAGUCCAAUAGAAACCGGGUUAGGUGGUUGGUGGGUUGGUUGGUUGGGCUCAGCCGGAUUCGACAUAUAUACUAGGGUUUGUCACUACUGGUAAGGCGCGACCUUUGCCCCCGAGAGAUCCCGGGAUCGAUUCCCAUUAGGGUUCAAAAGUAUUUCCGAUGGUGGAAGGUACUAUGUACCUAGUUGAUGGACGGUGGUGACCUGCGAGCCGACCAGGAAUGGAGUUGGGCCGCUGUCGACCCGGCAGAUUCCCUUGGAUGCCGGUGGUGGGUGCGGAACCUGAGUGUUCCACUGAGAAGUUGACUAGGGUGACUAGAUUAGGGUGCCCCGAAAUACCGGGAAAGGCAGGGUUUCGCGGGGUAGCUGCCCAGGGUGAAGAUAUACCCACCCCCCUGUUGCACACAUCAUACAUAUGCAUUUAAAACUAGACGAGGCACUCUGAAGCUAUGAGCCGCAAGAAGGGAUGUGCUCGAACUUGGUAAUGCACAUUUUGCAUUUUAAUACACAGUGCAAAAGAUCAUCAGACACACCUGGUAAGAUGCACUCAUACAUACAGCAAUGUAGGUAGGCGGCUGGCAGAGGUUAAGGCCUGACUUCUGCUCCCAGUCGACCCAGUCGACCCGGGUUCAAAUCCGCCUGCCGGCUCCUCGGGUGUUUGAGGAGUGAUGAAAUGGGAGGAGGCCCCCCAUCAUAUGGACGGUGUAGGACGUGAUAACAUCAACUUGCGAGCUGACCAGGAACUAAGUUGAUGCGCCGUUGAUCCGCUAGAUUUGGUUGGAUGCUGGUGGUGAGUUGCCGAACCCAACGAAUACAUUCUGAAGUCGGAUGGGGUGACGGAUUAGGGUGCCCCUCUAGCAGGGGAGAGCAGGGACUGCCCCGGGAAAGGGGGCCGCUGGCGAAGUUAACCACCCUGUAACAACAUACACACAGCAAACAUACACACUUAACCUUUCUACUCUUACCAAGGUGCAACGUCCAACUGCUAACUGCUAACUGUCCUAACCACCCAGGUAGCGGAUUUCGGCCUGAGCCGCUUGCUUCAAGCGCAAUCCAAGAUCCGAACCAGGUCCUUCGGGACGGUGAGUGGUUGGGAGUUGAUGGUGGGGUAGUUGGGAGUUUUUAACACAAGUACAACAAUAACUGUCCUUCCAGCAAACUGAAAACCCGAACGCCCCCAAAGCAUUUCAAAAAUGCACCGGAAUUCCAUUGGGCUGUCGUACACUUAUACGGCUUCCAAACUACUUGCCUGCUUCCCCCUCCCUGCCCCCCCUCCCGCAGAUCACCUUCAUGCCGCCCGAGACGCUCGUGUCCGGCAUUGUGAGCAAGGUAGGGGAGUAGGGUGGGGGCAGGCGGGUGGGCAUGCGUAGAUGGGCGGGUGUGGGGUGUGGGGUGUGGGGUGUGGGGUGUGGGGUGUGGGGUGUGGGGUGUGGGGUGUGGGGUGUGGGGUGUGGGGUGUGGGGUGUGGGGUGUGGGGUGUGGGGUGUGGGGUGUGGGGUGUGGGGUGUGGGGUGUGGGGUGUGGGGUGUGGGGUGUGGGGUGUGGGGUGUGGGGUGUGGGGUGUGGGGUGUGGGGUGUGGGGUGUGGGGUAGCACCCUCUUGAGAGGAUUUCUUCCUCCUCAACCCCGUUUCCCUCUCCCUCCGACGACUAUGUACUCUGAAAUCCCCCCAACCGCCAACCGCUAACCACUCCCUCGCACGCACAUGUGCCCAGGCUGCCGACGUGUACUCCUUCGGCGUGCUGCUGUGGCAGAUGUAUUCGGGACAGCGGCCCUGGUCCGGAAUGAACACGGGACAGAUCGUGUACAACGUGGGUAUGAAAGCCAUGCAGCUGCCUUUCGCCCCCGAUGCGCACCCGGGGCUUAUGGCGCUCAGCCGGGCGUGUACGGCAGCCGACCCGCAGCAGCGGCCAACCUUCCAAAAGGUGCAGGUACGCAAGGUACCGCCACCGUCUCAGGUUGGUUGGUGGUUGUAUUUCUGUUUUGAGGUAAAAAACUAAUUAGGGUUUGAUUGGUGGGUGCCACACCCUCACCCCGCUACGCAGGAAGAUCUGAUCGCGAUGGCUCUGGAGCUCGGACUGGAGCUGGAGAGCAGAAGGACGAGCAAUCCACCUCUACAACCGUCACAACCGUCACAGCUACCCACCUCAUCCGCAGGCACAGGAGCGCCAGGAGGUCCUAGCAGCGUGCCGAUGGCUGUAGCUGGUGGCGCUGGCGGCGCUGGCGGUGAUUAAAGAAGAGCAGUAGCAGCAGCAGCAGCAGCAGUAGCACUAGCAGUAGCGGCAGCAUUGCAGCAGGCGGAGAUCGGUGUGUGUGUUGUGUGUGUGCCGGGCUCCGGUGGUCAGCGGUCGCCAGCAGCAGCAGUUGGCUCGGCUGCUGGUCGCCCUGGCUUCGAGCUGCUGAUAGUGACGGUGACGGUGACGGUGGCAGUGGCAGUGGGAGCGAUGGAUGUGCCCAGGGGAGGGAUCAGCGCGUCCAAGAGGAAGCAAGAGGCUCAGCAGUACUUCGCGGAGAUAAGGGGGAAAAGGGGGGAAAGGAAGGGCCAGCUGGCUGGCUGGCGCCGUGCGGGGGUUGCUGGCUGCUGCUGGCUGCUGCUGCUGCUGGUGGUGGUGUUGCUUUUGUUUCUGCAAUCGCGUGCGGCUUGCGUUGCUGCCCCUGCCCUUGAUGGUGUGCUGGUGCUGGUGCUGGUGCUGGGGACAGUAUCCGUUGGCACAUCCGCUGUGCAUUGGGGGGGUCAUGGUGCGAAGAAAGAGGGUCCUUCGGGUUUCGCCAUUUUGAGACUUCAUAAGAGGCAACACGUGCGCGCAGGAGCUGCUGUAUACUGAUGCACUGAUGGGGGGGGCGGCUCUGUGCUGCCUGAUUGCGGAGUUCGCCGCAGCUGUGAGGGGGUCAGAUGUGAGUCCGUACGCAUGCAUGUACGAACGUGGAUGCCGUGUACGGGCUUUGGGGUUGGACGAGACUGGAAAGUAAUGAUAAUCCCCGCAGAUAGACAGACAGAUGGCUACUGACUCGUGAUUGGUAGUGAUAGGUACAGCUUUGCUGCUACAGCUGCAGUCAGCAACCUAGGUGGUUAAUUAUGAAGGGGGGGAAAGUAGGAUGUAGAGCUCCGGUUAGUUGGUUUCAGUUUGGUUUCAGUUGAGCUGUGUGGAUGGCGCGCGUGAGGAAUGCCAUAACGAAACGGCGAAAGGGUUCCGGAAUAGUGGUGUGGGGGGGGGGGUUCGGGCGCCAUCCUACUCUCCUUCCGCACAUACACACACAUACACACAGAUAUAGGAAGAUGUACCCUGCCCCCUGCCAGCUGUUCAGUUCCAUAGGGUUGCAGAUUGCCAUUUAUAGGCUACGGACGGAGGAGGUUCUAGAACUGUGUAAGGCUGUUAUUGUGGGGAUCGAUGAAGAAGAGCGGAAAGGCAGGGCGGCGGAUGGGACUGUCCGUACACAAGAAUCUCGUCUGAAGUGCGAGGUAGGAUGGUGCUUAUAGGCGGUGGCAGCCCUUGAGACGUCGGCUCGUAUUGGGCGGUUUGCAGGUACGGGGAACGCACCCACGACCAUCUAAUACACACACAGAAGAAUGUUGUCACAGAACAGGCAUUAGGAACAGUUUAGGACAUACAUCCACACAACGAUUUAACACAGAUUCAUGCGAUAGGGUUUAUUCCUGUCGAUCGUGUAAUACAUGUACGGGUGAACGUAGUAAACACUGACAGCGGUACAGCUACCGGCGGCUCAGUCUUCGAAUCAAAGUCAUCGCCGUCAUCGCCUUCCCUGGACGAAGACCCUGUGGCUGCAACUGCUGCUGCUGGAUGUAAUCAAUGACCGCACCGACCAACUCAAAACGAUGGCGUCCGAGGCCUAAUGUCUUGCCGCAAGCAAGCAAGCAAGCAAGCAGAUACGGGUAUACCAGACAGCGAAGGAUCGCCAUGUUGAAAAUGAAAAGGAAGCGGCAAAGGCCUUCUGCCCCUCCCGCCUUGCAUGGGUAGGUUAUCCACCAAGCCAGAGCCCCCAUAUGGCUACUGUGUGCCCCCUAUUGUCACUAAUGCUCCUGUUAGAAAACGAGCAGUCUCACACGAACACAACACGCAACGGUGGCCUAUAUCACUUGCACACCGUCGGACCCCUCCCCUCCCUCUCUACUCCCUCCUCCACCCCUCCAUCCCCCCACCAUCCAUCCACGUGCGACAAUCAAAACACGGAAGCAUUAUGAUCAUCGCCAUGAUCAUCAAGGCACAUAUAUGCAGACGCCACCGCCAGCUGCACAACCUUGCGCAGCACCAGCAGCAGCACCCGCUCUCCGGCAUCAAAACACCGCUCCAGACGCCACCAUCACAGCCCCAGGGUACCAGGGAGGACAUCGAGAAGAAACUCAGAACAGGCACUGGCUCUGCUGCGCCUCUGUCAGGAAAAAAGCGCCUCCCUUUCCCGAGCGAUACCACUCCGCACCCGCGUUCUUCUCCUGAGCCACUUGGUACGUCUGCAGCCCCUGGCUGUGGACCGCCAAAUGCUCCUCAGCGCCGAGCGCCAACGGCGCUCCGCCAACACGUGCGGCACCGCCGGCGCCGCCUGCUGCCGCUGCCGCCGCCGCCGCCAGCGUCGCCGCCAUGUGAGCUGACGACCAGUAGGCAUCAUCCAGCAGCAGCUCCGCCAGCGCGAACCGGCGCAUACGGGCGGAUGGCGCCAUUGCCAUGGAAAGCACGGGCUGCAUGAGCAUGUGGGAGGCUGUGAGCACCGCGGGCCGAGUGUCGUUGGUGACGGCGGAGGGCUGGGCGUCCGGUGGCAGCAGCGCUAUUUCGGCGCCCAUGCGCUUCAAGGUCUGUUUUUGUUGGGUUGAGUGUUGGAUGGAGUCCGGCCGAGCGGGUUUGAAUGUGGGUUCCGGGAGCAGCAGGAGCAGCAGCAACAACAGGAGAAAGGAAGUUAAACGAUGUCUCUGGUAUUAUAACUUGUUAGAAGUGACGAACGACCCAGACGAGGAGGAGAAAUAAGUUCACACAUGCUGGUGUGCGAGAGUACUACCCUCUGAUGAACCAUGUGAACAGAUAAACCUACAGACUACAGAACGCAGGAUUGGGUGAGCAGCAGCAGCAGCAGCAGCAGCAGCACAACAAGGAAAGAAUCGACAACAACAAAAAGCAACCUCCAGCAAGCGCGGUGCUGCCGCACCCAGCUCCACCCACCCCCACACACCGACACUUCCCCCCGCUCAGCUCCCGCUUGCCUUUUCCAGCUCGCCAUACGCCUCCUGGCCCACGACUUGCGCGCUGGGCAUCACCUCCUCCAGCUGCGCGCGCUGCCUGCAGUGCUCCCGUCGGAGCCGCAUUUGCUGCAUACAUACAUACAUACACGGGCAGGGAGGACAUGCACGCAUUACACAUUUAUACAUGCACGCAUGCAUACCUACCUACCUACCUAUCUACCUACACUGCAAUUUCGAGCCGCUGAGGGGCCCCAUGGGCCCCAUGGGCCAGGAAGGCCGAUCAGAACGCAGCGGUCGAUAGUUACGUGGGACAACACCACGACGUCUUCGCAACAUAACGGCGCAUUUUUUCAUCACCUCGUUGGAGAUUGAUCAUGCUGAUGCAUCCAUCCAUCCAUCCAUCCAUCCAUUCGUUCGUUUGUUUGUUGCGUUCAGUACCCACCAUCAAGGGAUCCUUGGCGGCCGCCACUGACUGCUGAGACCCGGACUGCAGCGGACCUCCUCCGCCACCCACGACCGCCAUCGCCGCCGCGGAGCCGUAGGUCGCACCCACCGCCAACCCGCCUGCUCCAUGGCCCCCUCCUCCGCCCCCUCCUCCGCCUGGUGCUGCUGCUCCCCCGCCCGGGAGCUGCUCCCCACCGCCACGCUGCGAACCCGGCAGCAACGACGGCCCUCCUCCUCCUCCUCCUCCCCCUCGCCGCGGCGGCCCACCACCCUCCAAUCCGCCGCCUCCGGACAUCAUGAUAUCCGAGCCGGCCAUUCCUCCCCCAUCCGACAAUCCCAUAGGCCCUCCACCGCCGCCGCCGCCAAGCCCCAUCAUCCGCGCCUGCUGCUGCUGCUGCAUCAUGCCCAUGCCGCCGCUUGCACCACUGGCGGGGCCCAUAUCCACGAUAGGGGGCAUCAGAAGAGGAGGCUGCGGGGAUGGACCCCCCGGGCCCCCAUGUCCUCGGCCGCUGUAUGCCAUAUUGCCACCGCCACCGCCACCGCCGCCCUGGUGGUGGUGUUGCUGCUGGUGGUGGUGGUGGUGGUGUGGCGAUAUGCUCCCCCCGCCGUCCAGGUAGGUGUUCGCGGAGUCAGAUGGAAAGGCGGAAGAGGUCAUUUGAGAGCUCCCGACCAGCGGCGGCAUGGGAGCUUGCGCGAGGGCGUGGGCUCUCCGGGCGGGAUCCUCUGGCUGGUCGUCGUACACGGGCCGCCCGCCGCCACGACCUGAAGACAGCGUUGACAUGAGAGGCAACAGCAGGAACAGCCUCCUAUAACACAAUAAACUCAUAAUCGUCAUCAUCAUGCAGUAGCACUAGUGGUCCGCGUACAUAUCACCACAAAUCCUGGAUGACAAAAAUACAAAAUAUCUGUUUAACGGGAGGGGAGGCGGCAGUACGAUUUAGGGAAAAAAACAAAAUAGAGUUACGGGCCCAGGGCCCAGGGCCCACGGCCAGGCACGACGUAUUAUUCACAAACGCGGAGCCGACCCUCCCCCGAAACGGAAAGGAAGCGAGGCCCCUAUGGGUGCAGGCAGGCAGGCAGGCAGGCAAGCGAUCAGGACCGCUGAGACGCGAGCGGCUAUCGGACCGGCAGUUCUAUUUACCCCUAGCAGCAGCAGGAGGAGGAUGAGAGGAGGAGGAGGAGGACGAGAACAGCUAACCAGCCCCAAUACACCGAUAUGCCCGUAUUGAGGAGCGCGACUUCCCUCGCCGUCAGUCUGCCGCUGCCUCCCCACCCGCCACCACCACUUCGCGUUCAGUUCACAGCCCCACCUCGACUGCCUUCGAAACCGCCGCCGCCGCCACCUCCUCCUCCUCCCCCGCGGGCUGACACCAUGGGUCCGUAAGGCGCCGGCCGAAAACCACCUCCGCCUCCACCGCCACUGUCCCCAUGUUCCAUACCCUGUGGUUUCAAACCCGUACCCAUACCCACACCCAUGCCGGCACUCCUCGCCCCCCCAUCACCCCCUCCUGGACCACCGGACAGUGGCCCCCGGUCCUGGGCCUCCCGGGUUGAUCCCAGCUGCGGCUGGUGGUGUCCGAAUCCGAAACCGCCCUCAUGCUGUUGUUGCUGUUGUUGCUGAUGUUGCUGCUGCUGAUGCCGUGGUGGUGGCGGCGGCGGCGGUGGCGGCUGGUGGUGGUGGUGAAGUGGGGGCAUCAUUGGGCCGCCGGGUGCGGGUGCAGGUCGGGUGAUGUUGGGCAUGAUCAUAGGCAUAGGCAUAGGCAUAGGCAUGGGCAAGGAGGAAGGCAAGCUACGCCCUGGUGAUUCCAAGCCGCCGCCGCCGCCGCCGCCGCCGCCGCCGGGGGGUUCCAGUCCACGUCCGUCAGGAAAGGGGGCGAUGUCUGGUGGCAGUGGCAGCGGCAGUGGCAGCGGUGGUGGUGGUGGUGGUGGCGAUGGUGGUGAGCGCGAAGGCAAAAGGGAAAUGGGGCAAGGGGCGUUGGUGGGGCGACAUCCGCACAUAUCAGAAGUGCCGCAGCACCGGCAGCAUCAGCCGCAAGCAGGUGCGACCAGUUGGGAACCGAGGGGGGGGCACUGGCUGGGGACAUAGACUCCUUUCUGAACGGCGCCGAGAGAAGAAGGGGAAAGGGAAGGCAGCUAAGGCAGCUACGUUGUGUGUCCCCGGAACACAUCAUUCCCCGGGCCCCCGCCCGCCGGCCGGAUGGUAAAAAACACACAGACCUGCCCCAACACGCACAUGACGCACAACGCAAAACACAUAAAACACACAAUCCAGCAGCAUUGAGAUCCAGAGAGCAAUCCAUAACCGACCGACACCUCCCGCCGCCUCCUCCACCCCUCCCCCCUUUCCUCCCCUCCCCUCCCCUCCCCUCCCCCCAGCCAGCCAGCCAGCCAGUCCCAGCCACACCCUCAGUCUCACCCGGCAUGUCAAUCACUCGAUCGCGGACGUCCGGGGGGUCCCGUUCCGGUGCCUUAUCGCGAUCACUUCGCCUGAAGCAGGGUUGCACAGUUGUAGCAGUGUGGUAGUAGCAGUGGUAGUUUAGAGGCGGGCCGGUGUGGGGACGUUCUGGGGAGUACUGGUGUCCUAACACGGGGUGCGGUGACGUGGACAGGUGCGACCGAAUGCAUGAAUGGCGGCAAGGACAGACAGCGGGAGUCGAUAUGGGAUGAUGUGUACUGAACUACAUACAGUUGGCAGGUGGCUGGCAGAAGAUAAGGCCUGACUUCUGCUCCCGCGGAGUGUCCGGGUUCAAAACCGCCUGCCGGCUCCUCGGGUGUUUGAGGAGUGUUGAAAUGGGAGGUGGCCCCCCAUCUUAUGGGCGGUGUAGGACGUGAUAAUAUCAACUUGCGAGCUGACCAGGAACUAAGUCGAGGGGCCGUUGAUCCGCUAGAUUUGGUUGGAUGCUGGUGAUGAGUUGCUGAACCCAACGAAUACAUUCUGAAGUCGGAUGGGGUGAAUGGAUUAGGGUGCAUCUCUAGCAGCGGAGAGCAGGGAACUGCCUCCAAGGGAAAGGGGGCCGCUGGUGAAGCUAUACCACCCUGUAGCCGCUGGUGAAGCUAUACCACCCUGUAACAACAUCAUACAGUGAUACAAGUUGAGGGAAUUCCAAACAGACUGAACUGCAUUACUGCCUAGAUAGGGGUCAUACAUACAUAUAUACAUAAAUGUGUUUUACAACGUGUUUUCGAGUUGCGUUACCCGACUCCAAAGUUGUAGUAACGCCCGCCCGUACGAGGACCCUGAGAAGGGCCCCAAGGGCCGAAGGCGAAUAUCGUCAUGGCGUACAUAACAUGUAUGUAUAUCCAUACCUAUACAUCCAUCCAUACCUAUCGCCACAGCUCUCACCUGCCGCCGUCACGGUCGCGGUCACGGUCGCGUCCCCGAUCUCGAUCUCGAUCCCCCACCUGUACAUAGAGAGGGGAAAGGAGGUGAGGGGGAGGGGGGAACAGAGGGGACAUACGUUGCAAUGCGAAGGUGAGCCCAAUGCAAUUAAGGGAGGAUGUGCCACCACCAGCACCAGCUGCACCACCCCAUCUGUCAUACCAGACCACAGAGAGAGCGCCACUCGUGGGGGCUGUCAGGUAGGCAGGUGUGUGGAUACGUAAGGGCGUAUGUAUGUAUAUGAAAGGCCUCCGAAGAACCCACUUUGUUCGUCUGUCUGUCUGUCUGUCUGUCCGUCCAGACGAUAUUCAGCCCGGGGGGCCCCGAGGUCCGCCAGUUCCGCGAUCUGCCAGCACACCACCCACCCGUCCAGCCGCCACUCACCUCCUUGCCCCUAUCUCCCCCUCCCCCACGGGGCCCCCGGUCGUCUCUCUCCUUCAACGCAGCAGGGCGGCAGGAGGGAGGGAGGGAGGGAGGGAGGGAGGCAGGAGGAAAAGAAGAACCCAAGCAAGUAAGUCAUCCCUAGCGACGCAAAAGCGGCAAAGGAAAGGGAGGAUCGAGGCUAUGAUGUUCAGGCCUGCUGCCGAAGGGUCCCCACCCCGACCCCACUCUGAGGGACUUGACAUAAGCCCCACCACUUCGCGACGGAGGACCCACAAGCACAGUGACAAGGAACCCACUCGCGAAUUCCCACGAGUCAGCACCCCCGGGGUAUUACGGGUUUUCCUUAAGGUAGUGUAUUCUAAUUUCGGGAGCAACUCCUCGUCGCAUGCACAGCGAUCCGCUUUUCUGGUAGGGAUACAUACAUACACCAGGGUUUGGAACUACUGGUAACGCGCGACCAUUGCCCCCGGGAGAUCCCGGGAUCGAUACCCAUUAGGGUCAAAAGUCCUUCCGAUGGUGGAAGGCAUUGCGCCCCUAGUUGAUGGACGGUGGUGACCUGGGAUAAAGUUAACCUGCGAGCCGACCAGGAAUGGAGUUGGGCCGCUGUCGACCCGGCAGAUUCCAUUGGAUGCUGGUGGUGGGUGCGGAACCUGAGCGAUCCACUGAGAAGUUGACUAGGGUGACUGGAUGAGGGUGCCCCGAAAUACCGGGGAAGGCAGGGUUUCGCAGGGUAGCUGCCAUGGGCGAAGAUACACCCCCCUGUUUCAUACAUCAUACAGCCAAAGAUACAUACAUACAGCCAAACACACAGGUGAACCGCUUGCCUCCACGGACAGUCGCAUACAGUAUUUCCAUACGUAUUUUCCAUACACCCCUUCACCCCGACCCCUCUACAACCACGCACACCCACAUACCUUGCUCUCGCGCUCCUUGUCGAAGCGGCCACCACCACCACCACCACCACCUCCUCGUUCUUCAUAGUACUCAUUGUGGCCUCGAUCCCGUUGCUGCUGGGGCUGGGGCUGCUGGAGGGGCUGCUGCUGCUCCUUCUCCCCUUUUUGGUACUCCCGAUGCUCUCCUCCUCCUCCUCCUCCUCCUCCCUUGCCAUCCCCAGCCCCCCUCUGCUGCCGCUGCUGCUGCUGCUGCUGCUCCUUCUCCCCUCGCUCCUUGAUGUCUCGCUGGUCCUUCUCCUUCUCCAACCCCUCUCGACGCGAUGGGGGUGACGGGCCCCCACCGCCGUCCACAUCCUGCUGUCUGACCUUCUCCCUCUCCUUCUCUCUUGCGGCCCCACCCCCCGCUCCCUUCUCCGACUUCCGGUCCUUGUGGUCGCUACCUCCUCUACCCCCCGGCCCCGCUGGAGGAUUACUGCUCGCAUCCCUCUCACCACCCCCCUUGUUGUCCGUCCCGGUCCCCCGGUCCCGCUGAUUCCCCUCACGACCGCCACUGGUGCUGCUGGGGGCCGCUGCGGGCGGCGGCUGGGGCUGCUGCGGCUCCCGCUCACGUUCGCGGUCCCUGUCCCUGUCCCGGCCCCGUUGCUUCUCCUUCUCUCUGUCCCCGGUGCUUCUGGGAGCAGCAGAACCACCACCACCACCACCAGCGGCAGCAGCGGCCUGGGAGUCCUUGAUAUCCCCACGGGCCCCUCGCUCGGCGCGGCCCUCCCGCCUGCCAGGGAUGACACACGCACACGCAAUCACCCAUAACCGCUCAUGCACGGAGGAAUACACAAACGUGUGUGUGUGGUGGGGGGGGGGGGGAGAGAGGGCAAAGGCCCACUGAAGGGCAAGAACUGGCACAUCCAGCGGCUUCGCACACCUGGCAUUACCACUGGACAAUUCCUAAGGAUCCCUAGGUUUUCGUGCGCGCAGCAAGCCUCUAACGAGCAUAUGUGCGGGAUUGGUCCCAAGAGGCGGUAUACCUUAAUCCCAUUCAACCCCCUGCAUGUCUCUUGACUUAACCCUCCCCCCUUUCCCCAACACGCGCGCACACACACACAGAGGCACCCCUGCCAUCUUCCCUUCCCUCCCUUCCCCGUUCCCCUCGCCACACACACCUGCCAUCCUUGCCGUCCUUGCGCUCCCUCUCCUGGUGGACCUCUUCGCCCACCGACUUACCGUACCCGCCCUUCUCCAGGGGGGCGCCCCCCGUUCCCCCAGCAGACGGGGGAAGGGAUUCCCUGCUGACAGCAGCCGCAUCCACGUCCUUAGCCCCCUGCUGCUCUUGAGAGGCAGUGGCAGUGGUGGUGGCGGUAGCAGCAGCGGUGGAGGAGGGGUUGUUGUCGUCUGUUCGUACGGCGCGUGGCUCCCAGACGAUGGCUGGGCGCUUGCGAGCUGUGGAUUGUUAGUUUUAUCAUAAGCGAAGGGGCGCACGUGUGGGAAAAGGUGGGGUAGGGCGUACGGUGGGGUGAGGUGGGGUGGGGUGGGUAGUAGUGGGCGGGUGGGGUGGUGAAGCGCAGGAAAGGAGGAGGGUUUAGUGGCUUCGGGACAACGUUUGGCCGGAUUGGCGUGAGCUGUGGUGGCAUGGACCGGGAAGAUUGUGGUAUGUAUGGAUGAAUGGACCGAUUGACAAGAUGGAUUGGGGUAGGAAGGUGGGUGAGUGAGUGAUGGGCUUUUGGAAAGAAAGCUCCCGGCGGCAGUGCAGGCGCACGUGAUACCCGUUCCGCGUGCGGGCUCUGCAAAGAGUGAAUCACAGGGCCUGGGUGGUGAUAAGGGUUGAAGGGUGCCCAACUAGGGCGGUUCGAAGAGCUAGAACGGGGCCCCCCUCUUACGUCUCUCGACCUCCUUAUCCGAGGUCUCCCCACGGCGCUUGCCAGAGGCUUCUGCAUCCGACUUCCGCUCACGCUCUCGCUGGCGUGAAUCAUCCCUGCAGGUGCAGCCGUGUCAUGUUUGCGGGCCUGAUCUCAGUUGGCUUGGGCCGGGCAGCUUCCUCACCUUGCAGCAGGGCGCUCUUCCCCAGGGUUCUCUGUAAGGCAACACAUCAUUAAACUGAGUCAUGCGCGCGGCGAAGGAGGUUACCAGGAGAGCCAUUUUACAGUAUCCGACGGCGAAACAUACGACAAAGCUUCUGCACACAAACGGGCCAUUGGUCACAAGUUUCAUCCCAUUCUUACCACGGGGACUGGAAAGUCGUUCGAACACGCUUGGCUUUUUUUCUUUGACAGCAUCCUCUUUGACGUCCCCUUUUUCGCCCUUCCCACGCUUGUCUCCUUUCCCUCGACUUCGGCCCAUACUUGAGAUUAUUUCUCGUAUCAGGAUUCGACCACGACAGCUUCUAGUGACAUCAACUAUCGAGUUGCGGAAGGCACCCCCGUAAGCCCAAUUAUAAACGAUUUAAUUGAAAAUAGCAAUUAAGCUUUAUGAGUACACAAUUAGUUUUUCUGAUCUUUGAGGGUCGAUUACCUACCAGGCUUGACAAUAUGUUCGGGCGUACCAUAUCACAGCAUUCUUCAUGUUUAUUGCACGAGACAUUCUUUGCCGCUUAUGCCGCAUAAAAGUAUUCUGCCACGGCAAUAAGUUGCCGACAAUGAAGUUUUGUUAAGCUUUACUCCCAGCCUCCGUCAAAAGGAGUAGAUCAUGCUUGCAUCCCCUCUUAUGGCUUAUUGAAUCAGAAUUUAGUUCGAUAGAUUUUAGUCCGAAGCGUUGCGAUAAGUUUGCCUGUGUUCUUGAAAUGGCGGACUUUCGCAAACUACUUCCUGGCAGCCUGGCCGACGCUGCAAACCAAGAAGCAUUGACGGUGGAACAAUGCGCAGGUAGGAUCCAUGGCCGCCAGUAGCCUAUGCGGCAUCUGCAUUGGCAACACCGUGUAAGUUCUGCACCUUUUGACAAAAGCAGGAGCACGAGGCAGACCUCGCCGUGCAGCAGCGGCAGCUGCAGCUGACGUUCUCGUGGCGACGGCAUUGGAGGAGGAAGAAGAUGAAGACGACAGCUGUCCGGGCCCACGACGCGCAUCUAAACGCCGAGACGUUAGGACCGCCCGCUCUAGCUACGCCAGCAGCUAUUGUGUCCAGGCUUCAAACCUUGGCGUCAAUCCACCUGCCAGUAUGGAGGCUGUGGUCCCAACGCGCGACCCUUUCCCACAGGGGUUUCAACAUCAGGUCAACGACCCCGGCCUGGCCCCAAGACACCCCAGCGGCGUGCUUGCCACCGCCGCGUCUGCAGCCGGGCUUCCUUUUCCCUCAGUCGCGACCGCAGCCGCAGCCAUGCAAGCAGCCAACAUGCAGGCAACCCUCGCCUAUUACUACUCAGCCGCUGCAGUCAACAUGCAAAACAGCUUGGCCCAAAGCUUCCAAGGUCUGCAGGGUUUGCAUUCCGGACUCCAAACACUACCCUACCCCCUCUCCCAGAGCGGCGGCCCGCCGCAGAUCCUGGCCGGGGGCGGGGCAACAGCGCCGUAUGGCAUGGCGGCUCCGCCGCCGCCGCCGCCGCACAUCGGGGCGACCGCGAUGCCAACGGCGACAGCCGCCACAGGCCUGCUGCCGCCGGACGGCGCCGCAGCCGCAGCCGCGGCGGCGGCGGCGGGCGCGCCGCCGCGGAAGAGGGGUCGUCAAGCGGGAUCAGGUUCGGGCGCGUCCGCGGCUGCCAAUGCCGGCCAAAAAGCGCAUAUUGUCCCUGGAAACGGCAGCAAAUUCUUCCCGAAAGAAUCGCAGGUCCGUUCCCUUUCAAAAACUUUAUGUCGGUCGUGCAGGUCUAGCGGCCGGUGCUGCUGGCGAAUGCUGUUGAGAUGUGCACUACCGUGUUUAGAUCCGUUCUAGUAUAUUUUAACCACCUUUUGUGUGCGAACAGGGAACAUUGACAUUGUCAAAUUAUUGCUCUGGAGUUGUGUCCGUACGUGCGUGCGUUUUCAGGCAUGUCGCAGAUCAGUUGGGUGCUUGGGGAGUAGUGAUGCGGGUCUGGCUGGAAAUGUGGGCAGGAGAAGCGCUGUGGUGUUUUGCAGUACUACUGGAGGAUACGAUAUUGAAACUGGCAUGAAACCGGCACGCAGGCGUAUCUUGUAGCUCACACAAGCUCUUGCCCUUCUCAAUUCGCGCAUCCUGUGAAGACUCUGCGUGUGGGAAUUCCAGUUCCGAAAAAGCGCAUGCGCAUAUACAGCUUUUUGCCCAGAAGGCGCGACUUUAUGGCGAGUGGGAAAAAAUGCGCGCUUGUGCGCAUUUAGAUCUUGCCUAGAAAAACUUUGUUUUGCAUUGCCGGGACAGCAAACUGGAUUGUUAAUCUUUAUUACAAUUAUGCAAUCCAUGACAUCCAGUUAUUGUACGUCCUGUACGACGAAAGGCUCGAAAAGCCCGGUAUCCGAGGCUACCUUAAGGCGGAGUCUUUCGCUCCUGCUUUGCCAUUUAUGACAUCCGCCGCUUAUGUGCUCCUAGUAGAGCACGCUUUUCUUCCUUGUUACUCGUGCAUGUGUGUUUUCCCCGAUGCCCCGUCCCUAAUCAAUUUUCCGUUCCCUGCACCACAAAUAUCUUUUUUGUUGAGUUGAUUGCUCCAUCGAAUCUGUGCCCAUUUCAUUACCCGCCCAGGACAGUGAUGGAAUGUUUGUUUACCGCCCCUUUUCAAGUAUCCGUCUAUCUGUGAUAAUACAAUCUGCUUCAAUCGUCAGUGGUUCGUCUCCCACCCCCUUUCAGCAGCUUCACUCGUUCGUGGUUCGUCUCCCACCCCCCGCUUUCAUCUCCCCCUUGACUUCCAGCAGUUUGUCUUAGUGACGUCGGCAUUUGCUUGCUUUCCUUGACCUUUCAUGCAAUUUCCAUCCGUCUAUCUACACCCCUCGUCCCUCAUAUACCAUCCCGGAGGACUUUCCCCUCCAUCUUGAUGAGUUUGAGUUGCUGCGUAUUUAUUUAUGUGGGUAUCGGCAUUGGAUUGGAUUUGCAGGAGGAGGUGCGGCGGUUUCUGCUGCUGAUGUUGGAGCCCAAUCUGAAGCAGCGAGGGGAAGUGCCCUUGGUAAGUGGGCCUUCGAGGUGGAGAGAGGGGGGCUGAGUUGCGUCUGUGUGUUGUGGGUGUGUGGGUGUGUUGCGUGCCCAUGGACGAUGUCGCACCCGCGAACCACCAUGCGCGUUACCGAGCGGGAGGCCGAGCGCUGUAAACCCUAAGAGACAACAACACGGGGGGCCCAAAUACUCUGAAUGACGUAUCCGCCUAUUGCCAAUCUGUUUGUCUGUCUGUAUAUCGAUCAAUCUGUCUGUCUGUCUGUAUAUCUGUGUGUUGGAGGGAUGUGCGGAGGAGAAAUGCGUGACGUGCGUUACAGGAGGAGGGAGUUGGGAGGAGGGAGGAGAAGAAAGGGAGGGGAGCACUGCUACCCACUCGUCCAACCCCACCCCACCCCCAAUCCAUCACAAGUCAUGGCCCAAAACCAAACGAAAACCCGAGCGGCGGUCUUUGGAUUCGUCUGGACAUGUGCUCAUGUUCGGUGUGUGCGCCUUGGGGAGCCGUCGCGGGUUUCAGGAAGCCCUAACUGCUUAAUAACGGUUUGUGGCCUUCAGUCGUAAUUUGUCCUCCCAAGCAGUAUAUGCUUGAUAAGCGAGCGAGCGCGUGUGUGUAUGUGUGUUCUUAGCUUUCCAGCACCCACCUCCGUGGCUGGCUUGUGGUGUUUGGGGAUGGAUUGGGUUCUGGGUUGGUUUAGAUUGGAUUGAGCUGGCUCGCGUGCCUUCCCCCCUUCCCCUUGCCCCUUUGGUCCGCGUUUCUAAUCUCCUUUCCUCCUAUUCGGUUCGUAACCCAUAGGACGUCAGCUGGUCUGUCCUCUGUCCGCUCCUUGCUGAGGAGGAAAGUAAACGUAGAGGGCUUGCUGCUGUUGAUACUGCUGUUGAUACUGCGACUGUUCCGUGGGCGACGAGACAUCGCAUCACAGCGGUCCGCCGGUGCCCCUCCGCGGUCCAUGUUGCGGCCGCUUAGCUCCUCUCCCACCUAACUGCUUGCGGGUGCCCUUGCUGCUGCUGUCGCCAUGUUGCUGUUGCGGCUGUUGCUGUUCGUGUUGACCUGCAGAUUGACCGCCAGACGGCCUCCAAAUUGGAAGCUCAGUUGCGGCAGCUGGUACCUGCGGAGCAUGGGCUGGACUGGAGCGGUGAGGCUGGGGUGGUGGCUGGGGCGGGUGGGGGGUGGGAAGGGAGUUGGGCGGCGAGGGGGGUGGUGAGUGAGUGAGGACUCUCGACAGACGGCUUUUGGCACCCACCAUGGUGCGGUGGUUGCGUUGCUCCUGAUAUACAACCCCCCCCCUUCGCCUCCUUGCUAUGGUUCCUGCUGCUGCUGCUGCUGCUGCUACUAAUACUAAUACUAAUACUAACACUACUGCUACUACUAAUGGUACUGUUGCGCACUUCAUCAGGUCCCAUCGCCCGAUUGGAGCAGGCCAGUUACCGGGUAGUGGAGGACUUGUUUGGGGAUCUGCAGGUGGGCCAGGGCAGGGCAGGACAGGACAGGGCUGUCGGGGUGAUGUGGAGGGAGGUGAGCACAGGUGCAGAUGGUUUUCAAGGACAAGGUGAAAUCCAUUACCGAUAUCAAACUGCCGAUGUGCAAGAAACACAUCUGAUAAGUUGUGUGCACGUAUUUGUCUGUCUGUCUGUGUGUGUGUGUUUACAUAUGUACGUGUAUAUGUAUGUACGUGUGCGGGUAUGUGGGGAGGGUUGGCCGGUGUCGAGGGAGAGGGUGAAUGCCGGAAUGGGUUGUGAGAGUCCGUUGUUGUUGUUAUUUUUGUUAUGUGCUGCUCCACACGAACAUGGAUGGAUGGAAUGCAAGGUAAUGUAGAAUUUUUUGUGGAAAAGAAAGAUUGUUGAACCACGAGCCACCAUCGUAAACGUCGUCCUCGUCCUCGUCGUCGUCGUCGUGUACACACGCGCCCUUGGAGCCCUUAAUGGUCCCUCAUCACCUUUGGACGCCGGCAGUGCAUCUCUUGAGUUUCUUGCACAUGAUUUCCCCUCACCUCCAUGAUGUGUUUUUGCCAUCACCUUCACACACAUACACUCGUACACACACGUACACGGCGCACGCAGGAUCCCCUGGAUGAUGUAAUCACAGCACAGAUGCAGGCGCCGUCACGGUACGGCAGCGGCAACGGUAUUAACGGCCUCAACAAUGGUGGCGCCGCCGGGGCCCUCAGUCGCGCGGGCAGUAGCGGCGGCUUCGGAGAUGCUGCGAUGUACGGCAUGACGGCAGCGGCGGCAGGAGCAGGAGGCGGAGGAGGAGGAGAUGGCGGCGGCCCGGGUGAUUCGGCCGCGCCCACUGCCGCCGCCUCCAACCCCCGGCGACUUCGGCAGCUGAACUCCAUGAAGCAAACCUUUCUAUCUGGUAGGGCUGAGGAUUUUAAACGGGGUGGAAGCAGAUGCCGAGGGAAGGUUUAAGAGAAAGAGGAAAAAGAAGUGUGAGAGAUACCCUAAGUAAACCUUGAGAGCAAACCUUGAAAGCAAAAACCCUUUUAUCAGACGGGCCCGGGGACAGCUAUAAGGAAAAUACUCCGUCUUUGGUUUGUAUCCCCGAUUAUGGCCGUGUGUCGGAAAACUUCUUGCAGUAUCUGUCUAAUCCUGGAGUAUAUCCGUCUGUAUGUAGUGGUAUCUGCUUCACUUCGUCCUUGGUUCGCCUCCCUUCCGUCCCCCCGUCCGUCCGUCUGUCCGUCCGUCCGCGAGUGCAGACCUACAUGAGGCCAUAGACGAGCUGGUGCGGCGACGUGUGGAUGCGGACAAGCAGGUUAGUCCGGGGGAGGGAAGGGGGGAUGGAGGGGUGUGUGUGUAUGUGUAUGUGUGUCCGGGGGGGGAAAGGAAGGAGUUGACUGGUUAGGAUGCAGAUAAAGGCGGGGGGGGGAAGGUGUGUUUGGGUUGUGUGACCUCUUCCUCCACCAUCACCCCCCUUUUCGAGUAUCCGCACUCUGUCUCUGGUACCUGCUUCAAUCGUCAGUGGUUCGUCUUAACCCCCCUACCCUACCCCCCCUUUCGGUCAGUUCUACGUUUGAUACACUCUUGUCCUGGCAGCAGCUUCAAUCGUGUGUGGUUCGUCUUCACCCCCCUCCCCUCCCCCACGAAUCAGGCUGCUGCCAAGGAGUACGCGGACCGCAUGGCGGACAUCCUGGCGGGCCUCCCACCCGAGCUCGGGAGCAUACCAGAAAAUGUACCGGGAGCCGUACUGCCUGCGGCUGUACUGCACAACAAGGAGCCGUACUUUUCGGUUUCGGAGUGGCGGAAAGUGCCAUUCCCACCUAGGUGAGGCUUGGAUCUGGGUAUUGGAAAGAAUUGGAGGGCGAGGUUCCGCCAAGGAGGUGGUGGUGGUGGCGGUGGUUGGAAGGGCGGGAUAAAAUCUGUUAAAGAAAUGGUGAGGGGCAGGAAGAUGGGGGGGGAGCAGUAGGGGGUGGGGGGGUAAAGUACGGGUUUCGGAGGCUUUAGGAGUGGGGAUUAGCUCUCCUCAUCCCCCCCCCCCAAUCGUGUUUGUGGCACUCCCUCUUUGACGAGAUGACACUUGCCGUUCCGGUGGCAUUACCAGCACCCAUAUAGGUAUCAGCAUCGGUAUCAAUAUUGAAGCACAGGUCGAGAGGGCUUUGGAGUUCCAACAGACGUGGAUUUGCUCGUAGCAGCCACUACGGGCAGGGCAGGGCUGGUUGGUUGGUAUUUUUUUUGCUUGUGUUUGCGUGUUGUGACUCCGUCCUCCUCCACCUCCUCCGUUGGUACCGCCGGGAAAUGAUAGCGCAUGAAGGCCGCUCCUGAACCUCUGAUCGGAGAACACGGUCGGGGAAUCUGCGAUUUCCUUCUUGCGUGCCUUAUAAACACAUACAUACAUGCAUACGCAUGUAUA